rnacentral:lncRNA from 1 species
AUUGUUUCUCUUUUUUGUCACUGUAUUUUUUAAAAUCUGUUUCACUUUCUUUUUUUUGUUAAAUCUUAAAUGUGUGUGUGUGUUAUGGUGAUUUCUUCUUGGAUACUUAUCUAUAAGUAGGCCUCACUUAGCUGGAAAAUCUCAAGUCCCCACCAUCAUACUUUUUAUCCUUCCAAAAUCUCCCUCUACCCAAAAACUGAACCAUGGGCCUCUGAGAAAAUCCACCCAAAUUAUCAUCACAAAUUUUACAGGGGCAUAGAAGAGAAAAAGUGCCUCCUCUAUACACGACAACUCCAAAAUUCAAUUAUCCCAUCAUCACCACUCACAAACCCCUUAGCAUUAGUGCAACCCACUCUAAACAGCAACCUGCCCUAAGGCUCCUAAACUUAUAUUGAAACCAAUUUAGAUUCUUGUAAGCACAACCAAUUGGGCCUUGUAAGGUUGGAGGAGAAAUGGAACGACCUCCCUCUUAUCCACAACAUUUGCCCUCUUAAAUUCCAUGAAUUAAUCCUAAGUUUCAUUGUCCAAUCAUGUUUGGGUUCAAGCAGCAACAGCACCUGCCUCAAUCUUCAAAUCACCACCCUCAUAAUUCACUGAGCAGGAUGGUUAUGCAAUUCUCUGUUCUUGCAUGAACUGCCUCUCCCCUUCUUUCAUAGUGUUAGAGCCCUGUUUGCCCCACCUGGAUUCUAUGUCUUAAGCAUGUCCAUACUCUCCUCCAUACGCUUUGAUCAACAGUUACAAAUACCUGUUGAAUAUCCCAAAUUUCAUUUUUGCCUGUGGUGUAGGAGCUUUCUCCACACCUUUUUGAACUCCUGAUCUGGAUUGCAUGAAAUUCCACCAGGCAGUAUAAUAGAUACCAUGUUCAUGUCAAUAGGAGGCAACACAAUACCACACCAAUCUUUCUCCAACCACACCACCAUAUUCCUCACGCAUUUUAAUGGGACUCUACCAUGGCCCAUCUUGCAAGAUCAUCUGCAAUAGUCACCUCCACUUCACUGCAAGCUUUCCUUACCUACAUUCCCAGGUGCAUCCAUUGCUCCAAUGCUUUUCUGACCUAUAAGGCCUGCUCAUCACCCACCAAACUAGAGGAAGAAGACCCCAGCAGACUUACCUAAGUUAGGAGACUCCCUUUCACAAAGAUAAGUGCUUACUGCUAAUUAGUGUCAUCACCUUUAGCUCCUCCACACCACCUUCACCUCUCAUCCCCAUAAAGGGACGAAAAGACCAACUUGAUUAACUCACAAUUUCUUUGCCUGGGCAUCAUACUGCCUCCUGUCCAGUAGAAAAGACUUGAGGAUGUCUUGCUCUCUGCUUCCAUAUGUUCUCCCUUCUCAGCCUCCAUGGGAGAUAUGAACUUAAAAAUUGCCAGCCUAAGGAGGUCAGAUUCACUUCCUUCACUUUAUUACAAUCCACCUUCAAAAUUUGAAUUACUGCCAAUGGGUUGCCAAACAAAAAACAAACACCCCUACCACCCAACAUCUUCUUGUCUACAUUGGCUACUUCUUGCUCUACUUGGCCUGGUCUUUAGUAUCUUACAGUUGUCAUUUAACAUCCUAAGCAAUGCUCAAAGCCCCCAUGGACCUUAGCUGCUACACUGCCUUCAGACACUGUUGAAAUUCCCCAUUUCCAGUUCCAUCCUCCACACGCUUUGAAUGUUUACCAGAAAAUCCCAGAUUAUGCAGCCUGCUUGGCUAAGAAUAUCGACUCAGAAAAUCUAAGCUAUCUAGGAAAAUAACAAAAUACCUCGUUAUGUCCUCUGGAAACACCAAGCCGGGCAGAUAUCAACAAUUCCCAUUUUUCAGCUCUCUUCCAUCAAGCUUAAGAUCUUUAAAUUACACAUAUCAUUUUUUCAUCCACAACAAUAAUCCAAACAGUUCAAAAGUCAUGAGAGUCCCCUAGAACCUAGUUUGUUCCGCCUUUAGUAGCCUUUUCCCGUAUUCAUGAUCUCCCCUUUAAUUUUCCCUUGCCAUUGUUUUCAUAAUUCCUCGUUUUAAUCCUAGCUGCAUCCCAAAUAUUUCAUUUCAGUUCAAUUUAUGCUGAAACCUUUAAAUUAUAAACAGCUAUCCAUAUUUCUGACUUUAUUGCUUACAUCUAGUCCAGUUUCAUCAGGUAGACAACAUGCACCACGGGACCUCAUCUUUUUUUUUUUUUCUUUUGAUCAAUAAGCAAAAGAAUUGUAUUAACGAAGAGGCACUAAAAUAGCGACCCACAGAAUUACAGUAUAGAGACACUCACCCCCUUACAAUUGGACCCAAAACAAGAAGGAAAAAACAAAAAACCUCCAGUUGUGCAGUUAAGUUCAUCCAUUGCUAAUGCAAAACGCAAGCAUCUGUGCAGCUAGAAAAUGGCAUCUCCCAUGAGUUGAUCUCUCAGGUUGUAUCCUCCAGUUGUAUGUGCAGCCCUUCAUCAAAUUAAUAAAUCUAGUUAUUCUAUUUUCUAUUUUUUUUCUUUUUUGAUCAGUAAGUGUAAUAUGUAUAUUCAAAAAGAGGCGCUAAAGAAGCGACUCAAAAAGCUACAGCAUCGAACAACUCACCCCCUUACAAAAGAACCCAAGCCACUAUGAAAGCACAAAAAACUCUCUCCCUUAACGCAUACACACCCAUUCCAUAAAAUCUAUUAAGGUCGAAGGACCAUCUUUUAUCCACAAUUUGGUUUCCGACCAUAGUAAAUACACAAAAGAAAUUUUCAGCUUUUGGAUGGACAGCACCCCAUCCUCAAAAGCAAUAGAAUUCCUAGCCUUCCAAAUAACCCAAAACAAGCAUAACGGUCCCAAAAGCCACGCCACCUUCCUCUUCUUGCCCACAAAGGAGCCUCUCCAACCUAUGAGAGUUUCCUUAACCGAAAGCGGAAAAACCCAAGAGACUCCAAAAAAAGAGAGUAGCAAAGUCCACACCUCCCUUGCUCUUCCAAACACCUAUUAGUUACAUUUGUCUUGUUAUAUACUAAUUUUGAAACAUAUAAUUUCCUCCCUGCUAUAUCUGAUGGAUAUGGACACAGGUAUGAGAUGCACAGAUUCACUGACCUAGCUCAAAAAGUAGGACCAUAGAUGUGGAAAGGACAGAACAAUAUAUUAGUAUAUGCUUACUGGUCUUUCCUCUCUUUUACUAGUCAUAUUCUUGUCUUUUGUGAGUUUGAUCUCUGUGCACUGCACUAUAUAGACGCAUGUCCAGCAGUGUGAGGGGAUUGUACUUUCCUACUUAGUAUUCACAUAGACAUGGGUCCUCUUUAAAGGCAAGCAUGCUACGGGCAUCCUGUUUAUGUUUACAUUUCAAGUUUAAGUAGUUUGUUAGUUGUUUUGAGGAUUUGUUUUGUGUUCUUUGUAAAUUGUUGCUUGUCAAUUUGCCAGCUUAAUGACUUACCAAUUUUAAUUGAAGCACUUCAUCCUGAUGCAGGGCAUUCCAGAAGAUGAUGGCAAGUCCACCAGUUCCAUUCAUGUCAACACAUGCCAUUAUUAUUUCCUACCAUGCUUUUUACUGUUCACAAGAAGUGAAAAGUUUUUAAAGCUCACCUUGGAUGUGAUGGGCUCAUUGAUAACAGAAAAUGGUUCAUCACCUUUUUCUCCUAAUUGUAUUCUAAAUGCCACUGACCAUACGAAUAGGAUAAGAGCUAUUGUUGAAAUCCUUAUAUUGAUGCACAAAGAUGUUAAAAUCCAGCGAAUUCUUUCUUCAUGCAAAUCAGAGAUUGACCAUAUUUUGCAGAACAUGCUCUUAUUACAGGUAUGAUUUUGUACAUUAAGCCAUGCAAUUCCGUUUAGUUUUUUUUUAGUUAGUUUGUGUAUUCAACUGACCUGUCUGGUCCAAGCAUCAUGGAUUUUUUUCAAGGUUAAACCAGGCAGCCAAAGCCUGCACUAUAAAUGCUAUUUAAUCACGGAUGUCAUAGAUUGUUUAUAUUUAAUAUGUAGAAUGUGCCAAAUUGAAAUGCUCAUUAAGUAUCUUUUAGCAGAAUAACUGAUUGGCCUUUAUACUGUCCGAUCUACCUGAUCUAAUAUGACUCUUUAACUCUCCAAGGAUUGCUGUAAAAAGGAAAAUGAGUCAGAAAUUCAGAGUAAAGAUUACCAUGACAAUCACAAGCUUCAUUGUAAUGAAAUCAGCCUGUUUAUUGUUUGAUCAUUAACAUGUUGAAUACUGCUGUUAUGAUUAGAUGUUUUUUUCCCUCAAGAUAGGGUAAGAACUUUAGAAUUGGACCCCUUAUAAUUCAGACCUAAUUUUAUAUUCACAAGCCUUCACAAAAUACCUUUCAAAUUCGAUUUGACCUCAUAAUCACUAGCCUUAUAUGCAAGAUAGUCUGCAAUUUUGUUGCUAUUUCUGUUGAAAAUAUCAAUAAUGGUUUUAUAAUCCAAUUAUAUGAUAAAUACCAAUCAUAUCCAAUUAUAUGAUAUAUAGAUCUACUUUCCUUCUUUUGAUCACACUUUACACAGCAGAUUUUGUAUGUGAGAAGGAUUUCUCUGUUUUCUCAGCCUUCUUUAUAUUUGUUUUCACUGGAAUAAAAUGGUUGUUUCUGAUUAAUAUUAACAUAUGCACACACACACAUAUUAUACACGCUAAAGACAUGUUGUUGUGUGUAAGUAAUAAAUUUCUUGACAUCAUUGUUACCGCAGGCUUCAAAAGGAAUGAAUAUGAGUAUCGAAGAAAGGCACAAUAUACAAUGUGCAUUUGACCGACUAAAGUGCAUAACAAGUACACUACCCAGUGCGACGCCAAUAAUCUAAAUGCAUUUUUGGAAUCCAAUAAAUUGGCCUAGUAAGUUAUCUAUCUUUCAUCUGCUUUUGUUUCACACAUUAUUCUUCAUUUAAAAGAGGUGAAAGGCAAGGUGGUUUUGGAGGUUUUGGGUUCUGUUUCUCAUGAGAAAGUUCAUGAUCCAGGGAGGGGGGAUGAUCAAUUACAAUCUUGCUUCUUUGACUCUAAAGGGCAUUCCAAUUUUAUGGUCUAAGAUAUCCUGACGCUACUGUACAGUAUGGGCAAAGGAGUCUAUAAUUCAAACUAGUCAUUGGCUUGUGCAAUGUACAUGAAACUGUUUUGUUCAAAACAGAUUGAUAAAAUAAUAUAUUCUAUGUCAACUAAAAGUGAUAUUUUUCUAAUAGGUAUAACUAGAAAGUGAUCUGAAUUUUGUUUGGCUCUUUAAUUAAUGAUCUCUUCGCCUGUCAAAGAAAACUAUGGAGUGACGUAAGGCUGCUAUAGUAAUGAAACUGUUUUUAUUUCUGAUAAAAAAAAUGAAAUUAAAAUAAAAUAAAAUGAAAGGGUUUUAGGUAUAGGAGAAAAUUAGUUGCUAUAUCCUUUGUGGUGGUUUUGAUCUGUUAUGGAAAAAAAUGAUCCCUUUACUUUAUGCAGCUGUCUCUUCUGACUCUUUUAUCUUAAAAGGGGCCAUGUGCUCCUUGGAUAGCGGUAGUCUUUCUUCUACUAAAUCCAUUGGCUCUCCCAGAGCCUGGGUUCCAUGUUGGAUUCUGUUGGGUGAUUCCUAGUGAGAUUCCAUUGGUGUUUGGGGUUGCUUUCUGGGUUUUUUCAGCAUAUAAGUUUUAUUGUCUGAUGCUUCUAAUGAUACGCAAUAACUUGAACCUAUACAGGAGAAUGCCCAUUGAAACAUCUCAUCGAGUAUUUAAUACAAUGUUUUGUAACAGAAGUGUGACUAAUUUUCUCUCAUUUUUCUUGUGCCUUCUUUCAGCUUUGUAUUUUACAAGAAUGGAGAGAACAUGGAGAAUCGGAUAUGUUGUUGGCAAGAUGUGGAAUUGGGAUGUGUUGUUAAAUCAACUAGUAUAUGUCACCAUAAUCUCAAGAUGACAAGGUGAAUUCACUCUGAUUCAACUUAUCCGAGUCAUGCCAGAAUUAUACCUAGUGGUCUUCAAUCACAUGCUUGUAUUCUUCAGAGUCAAAAGUGAGUGCAAUUUUGAGCCGUAGAUAAGGUAAUCAUCCCCCUUUCUUGGCCUUUUCCUUGGUUUUUUUCCUCUCCUUUUCUUCUGCAUGGCAAUUGCCUACGCACUUCAUCAUAUAGUUGAGUUAUAAGAUAUAUACUUAUAGUUGAUGAGAUUUUGUAGAAAAUUUUGGAAUUGCCCCAAACUGAUAAGAUGGCAUGAGGUUGAAUGCACACAAUUUUGGGAGUUGACUCAUAAGUUAAAAUGAUUCAAUGGAGUAGACGUAUUACACAAAUUUACCUCUCCGAGUGAAUAUUAAUAAAACGCACCAACAAUUGAGCAAUAUUUGGUCUUCUAAUUAUUCAGUGAUGUUCUUUGUUGUUGAAAGUCAAAAGAACAAUUUAUCAUCCGAAAAUCUGUUGAUUGAAAACCAUUUGUUUUCAAGACUAGUUAUAUUAGAAAGUUGAUUGUAGUAUGGGAUCAAGGACUAUUAUUGCCGAGGUUGGGUGAGUGAGAUUUUAUGUAUUGACCCUUUAAGUUCAUAUUUACAGAUUCUCAUUACCUCAUUAAGCAAAAUAAGAUGAGGGAUGGAUGAUACCUGAAUUGCCUGAUUCUUCUACAGCCCAAUACCCGAUAAUAUUUUUAAAGCGCCUAUCAUUUGUGAUGGUAAACUUCGGCAAGCACUCUUCUUACACAACGUGUGCUUGUCAGAAAAAUUAUUGAUGGAUUUAAUUUCCAGGAGGUUUGACCGUGGCCCAAGUAUCUUUUCAACUGCAACACCAAAGUCCCUAUGGGCCAUUAUGCAUUUAAUCCAUUUUACCCAAACGUCAUAUCAUCAAGAUAUCCAAAACGGUGCCGUAGAGGUUAUUUUGAUAAUAUGUCUAAAUACAAACUUCCAUAUUUUUUUGCGGUCGAAGUGAUUUGCCCUCACGCUUGAUCAAGAGAUCCGGACUAGUUUCCAUUUGAGAAAGUUAAAUUUACAGCCUGCUUGAGAGAAAUUAAGGAAUGGUAGGAUCAGACAAUGAAAUAUCGGAGUAUUCAAUUAAUUUGCUAAGAAAAACUCAAAAUGAAUUUUAAUAUUUUACCAUCUGAUUAAGUCAUCCAAAAAAAAUCAUAAAUGUACAAAUGCAUGCAGGUAGGUGUCCUCUUCAUGAUGGUAUGCACUGAAAUUCGCAUUAGGUGAGACCCACAAGUUCAUUUGACAUUUGCCAUAAUCAUCCCUUAAAUGAAAAUGACUAAAAUGUCUUCAUUAAUUUGCAUCAUGGUCCAUGCUUUUCGUUUUAUAUGCUUCUGCAAGUAAAGGGCAUUUAUCUUUACAGGCCUCGCUCAACCAGGUCCAUAUGCAUAUGAUGGUGGAGCUCACUUAAUCGUGUGUUACACCGCUAUCCCCCAGGAUCCCAGCCAAGCAAAUUGGGCCCACCAAACAUUCAUGGCUCACUUAUUCUUAGGUAAGCUGGUGGUGUACCACUUCCAGGAUUGGCCUUCCCAACCUAAAACCUCUCAUUUGAUGAUCAAUUUGUUUGCUUUCAGGAAAGCAUAGUCCAGCCAAUAAUGUGCCUGUGUGCAUGGUUCACCUCAAACAAAUCCAGAAAUUUGCCAAGUCUUGUUUUACAUUAACCAGCAGUCACCCGUUGCCCUGAAACUAACUUCUUUAGUGACAAAUUUGAACCUGAAUACAAACAGGUUUGUAUGAUUAAAAGCUAGUGAGAAAGGCGAGUGAAAAAUAACAAACCAAAACUAAGAAAUCAAGUAGACAUAUAGCAGAAAUAUGAACUGCCAUGCCUACAUGCUUGAAACCAAGGCCAUAUCAACAGAUCAAGUAUGUGAGCUGGAACAUGAUUUGAGUGAUGAAAAACAAAUGAUUAUGGGUGUUAUUUAUUCUAAGAUAACAUUUGGGUCCUGCAUUUGUUCCUACUAGACAACAAUUUCCAGGUGUUAUUAGUAGUAAUCCCAAAUGUCAAGAAAACUAAACAAUUUUCACAUCAAUGGCAACCCCUUAGGGUCUGAAAAGCUUGGUCGGCGCAAUCAUUCAAGUGAACCAUUGAAUUCUGAAUUCCUUGCAUUGGAGUGAAUACAAGAGAGAGCAAUAUCAGUUUCAUCCUUAAUCAGGUUUUUUAAAUUAUUUAAUGAGAGCAAAAUUUGCAACUAAUAGAUUUUGGUAAUAUAAAUUCAUUAGUCAUAAUUGUAUUCUCCUGAAGAAGGGGAUACUCAAAAUAUUACCAAUAUGAUCAGGACACCAAAAGAUUAACUGGACUGGAAAUUGAGAACAAAGAAAAUGAAAAAGAAACAGGACUGAGGAAUAGAAUAGAAGCUUAAUACAAAUUCCCAAUGCAAUUUAGAAGAUUCUAUGAAAUAAUAAACUGUAAUUUUUUUUUCUGAAAUGACAUAUGCACUUGUUUGCCAUAUCAGAGUAAAGCAAACUACUACAAAGUAGCUAAUCUGUCAUCCGAAAAAUAAGAAGUAGAGGACAAACAAAUCUAAAUAUACAAACCUCUGCAAGAAUUUCUACUGAAAGAACUUCCAUUUCUUCUCACAAUCCUGAGACUGGUGCAAGCCUCGGAUGUUCACCUUACCAGCACAUCCCUGUAUCAGAUUCAUCUCAUGAAGCCAUUUGUAUGUAACUGAAAAAAAAAUUAAAAAAAAUGCUGUAUUAGAUUCAUGAAAACGACCCAAGGAGCACAACCAACGAGGCACCCUUUAUGAGAUUGUUAAAUUUUGAAUGGUAGCCUUUCAUUGUUAAAUUUGACUCCUAGUAUUUCAUGCAAGGAAAUGCAUUUGUUCCCAAAAAAAAUAACCCGGUCAACACAGGUUUAAGAUCAAAGUAUUGCUUUAAAUUUCAAUUGUUUAUGAUAAAUAAGAGUGUAGAAAUCAACAACCCAAAAUUUUUUCCAUAUUUUCCUUCUAAAAACAAACUUAAGAUUAAGAAGUUGGUGAUGCUUAUGUCUCACCCAUCAAAGGACCAAAGAAAAAAAAAAUCAACCUCUGGUUCUUGCAUCUCAAAACUAUGCAACUAAAAUAUAAUUGUGUGAAUAAAUAUAAUAGAACAAGGGCUCCCCCUUAUUUCUUUUGGUCUAAGCUUUGAAAAGAUUGGAGGGACAGGAAUGCCAAUUUGCUAUCCAUCUGAUCACUAACUUUUGUAAUACAUCUAUUUAUGAUUCAUACGAUGGUGUCUGCAUAUCAUACAAGGUAGUUGUGUUGUAACUCCCAGCUAAACUUGGUAUGCCAAAUUUUGGCAUUCAUGUCCCUUGUGCCAAACCUCGUCGACUCAUGGAGACACGUGUAAGUUCUCAGGCCACUUUGGAGAAACCAACCUCAUCCCACCAUUUCCAUCAUUUCAGUUCAAUGUUGUUCGCUUUUAGUAAUUUCACCACAACACGCAAUUGCUUUCCUUUCAUAAUUUAUGUUGAAAUUUAGCAAAAAUAGUGAUAAUUUGAUAGAAAUCAUCCCCUCUUCUCUCCCCCUCUCCUCUCGAAAUCAGUAUUUCUAUAUAUAUAAAGAGAGAGCGCGCUACCUUUCUGGACGAGCAAAUGAGACAAACUCCUCGUUUCUUCUACAACCUUCCAGAGGAACUUCCAUGAAGGACGAUGAAAGGGAUCCCCAAGCACUGCGAGACUGAGUGGCAUGAAUGUGAAUCGAUUCAGAUGGGAAGGGCAAUAUCGUCACAAAAAAUUAAUAUGUGACGAUAAAAUAGCGAACUAGACGCCACUGCUCGAUGAGUGGAUGACUUGGGAAGCAAGCAACUAAUGAGAGUAGGAGCCUUUGAAGCUUCUUUCGUCAUCUGGUUUAUACCAUAAAAAUCAGAUUCAUGUUCCGUAAAUACCCCCACCGCCUUAAUUUAAUUACUAUUUCAGGUCUAAAACCCCACCACGCCUCGCGCCUUUUAUAAAACCCUUUCUGUUGCAAUAUUUCCUUGUUAAUGUUUUCAGCCGACGGGAUUCGCCGUGGUCUGCAGGUAAGAUGAUGGAGAUCAACGCCGGGGUCUCUUUUCCGGUCGUCUUCUUCGAUGGGGAACGGGAAAUCAACAUCGGAGACGUCGUUGUGUUUCCGUCGAUGGAGUUUAAGAAUUUCCAAUCAAUUCUGAGCCAGAAAAUUGGAAUCUCUCCACACCAGAUCUCCAUCUUCCUUGACUGUCAGAGGAAAUCGCGAUCAUCCAUGGAAACACGUCGGAGAAUUCCUAUUACCGGUAAGGUGAGUUUCUCUGCAAUUCUUCGCGAGAAGGAUUGCUUCUUUCUUGUGGUCUUGAAGCGAUCAAGGAGAGAAAGAAGGCGAAAAUCAAGACUUCUUAACGAAGUGGAAGAAGAAGAAGAGAACUUCACGACGCGGAAUACAGUAGCGCCGCCUCAGAAACUGCAUCUUCUCCGGCGAAACCAAGAGACAACCGAUCAAACAUUUUCAGGCUUCGUUUCGCCGUAUUACGAUCAGAUUAUGCCUUCGGACGACCUGUUCGUGGGAUCGCAGUUUCUAAAUUAUAAUAAUCGUCUCCAGAAUUUGCAGAUUCAACGAGAGAAGUAUUUGCGCUCUACCAAUUUGCAUUCGAUACCGAAUGAGAACUAUGACUUCCCGGUGACGAAUAAUCGAAUCGGAAGAGAUGUGAUAGUGUGCGAGGAGUGUGUGAAGGCGAUGACGAUGGGAAAACCGGUUCCCUUCCACUGGUGCGUGUACGACGCCGUCACUGUAGGGUUCCGAUCACCGGCCGGACCAAUUGCGAGGCCUGUCAAACGUUCCAAUUAGGGUUUGAAGGUCCACGUUUUUAUUUUAUUUUAUUUUGUUAUUUUGAUGAUGAUGAUGAUGAUGAUGAUUUGAAUUGAACCCAAGGAGACUUCCGAUUUAGGCUUUCUGCUUAGGAACAGGAAACAAUAGUGUUGGGGGGUGGUGAUGGUGGUGCGAUGUGGCAUACGAUAAGGAAGGUAUACCACACGCGAUACCACAUAGAUUACAGAAGAUACUAGGACUAGGAAAUUAUACAAGUGUUGAUAUACGUGUAUGGAAAAACGCCCUUUGGGAAAGGGUCCAAGUUGACAGAUCUUUUUCUGUAUUUUUCUUUUUUUCUUUGGAUUCUUGAGAGAGUGAGAAGCUCUGCUUCAUUGCUUGAAAUGGUGAGACACACCACUUGGAAUUGUUUUCCACCCCAUUCCAUUUUCAGGAUCGUAACACUACUUUGGGAUUAGGCCCUACAGGAAUUUAAUUCCCAUUGGCGUUUUGAUUGGAAAUUUGGUAUAUGAAUGAAUUGUCAUCGUCUCUUUUCUUUUCUGGGUUCAUGGCUUACCAUUUUUACUUGUAUUUUAAUGGAAAUGUUGUAUUUUUUUAUAGUUUUGGUCAUAUUUUAUAUUGGAUGGUGGUGGUGGUGGUGGUUGUUGUUCUUGUUAUUUGUAGGAGAGGGGCCUUGUCAUGGAUGACUAAUUGGAAAUUAUUGGUGUUGGUUGGGAAUUAUAUUAUUGGCACAUUAGAAUUUUCAAUUUUUGAUAUUUUUUGUGAAGAUUAAUUGUAUUCUUGUAGUUUUUGGGUGUCAUGUGAAUUUUUCUGAGGGAGGCACAUGGCGCAUUCUCUAUCACAGAUGAAAUAAUGGCCACGGAUGGGAGGAGUUUGUCAGAAGAUAACUUAAGACUAAUAAAUAGAGUUGUUAAGAUGUAAAUUGUUACUAUAUGUGUGAAAAUAACAUAUGCAUGUGGUUAUUAUUAUGUGUACAGGCUCUUCUUUAGGUCUUAAUGAUGAUAAGGAUUUGAUAUGCAGUCUACUUAAUGGUAAUUACUAAUUGCCUUGAAAACUGACUUAAAAGAGUUCGCAGUAAAAUAUGAUUUUGACCUUUUUCAAAAAGGAUACAAGGAUCGAGGGAUAGUGAUUAACAUUAACAGCACUGAAAAUUAAUGAAGAUUUAAAAAAAUUAAAAAAAAAAUAGAACUCCGAAACAUAAUUUAUACUCAUCUUAGAAAAAUUUCUUAUAUUUUUUAGCAACUAAACAUAUUUAGAAAUCAUAAUGAUUAUCCAAUUACCAAUUUCCUACAAAUUACAUAUUAAUCAUUAUCAAAAUUUAUCAUAAUAAUAAAUUAUGAUAUCUUGAAAUAUUUGAAAUAAUGUUAAAUUACUAUUUUUUUAAUUAUUAUUUUUAAAAUUAAAAUAAAAACAAAUAUAAUAAUUAUGUUUAUAAAUAUUUUAACAUGUAAAAAUAAAUAGAUCUAACAUUUAACAAUCAAUAGUAUUCUAAUAUUAAUAAAAAAAUAAACAUUUAAUGGUAACUUAUAAAAACUACCUUCCAAUUAUUAUUAUUAUUUUUUUCUCAAUUUCUUAUCCUCUCAUUUCCCCUUCCUUGUGCAAACCAUUAAGGCUAUGUUUUGGUAGCAAAAAACAUCAAGAAAAAAAAAUACUUUUAUCAAUUUUAUUACAAAAACCACAAAAAAAAUAAAAUAUAAUUAAAAUUAGUUCUAAGUUUAUAUAUUUUAAUUAUUUAGUCCAAUGAGAAAAAUAAGUGAAAUAAGAUUAAAAUUUUAUAUAAAAAUAUUUUAUUAACUUUAAAUUUAUAUUUUUAUUAGGUUAUGUUUUAUGAUAAAAUAAAGUUAUCCAAAGAUCUUAAGGCUAUGUUUGUUUUUUUUAAAUUUUUGAAGGAAAACAAAUAGUAGGGAAAAAAAAAAAAAGAUAAUAAAUAAAUAAAUUUAAAUUUAAUAAAUUAUUUUUAUAUAUUACUUCAAACUAAUUUCACUUAUUUUUUUCAUUAUAUUUAAAAAUAAAAUAUUGUAAUAUGCGUAAAGUUUUAACUAAAUUUAAUUUUAUAUGUUUAUAUUUUUUAUAAUUAAACCACAAAAAAUCAUGUUUUUUUAACUAUUUUGUUUCUUUUCUCACUACCGUUUUGAAGCCAACACAUUCUCCAACAAUAUAAAUUUUAAUUCCAUAUUCAUCUUAACAUUCAACACCAAAAUAAUAAUAAUAAUAAAAUAAAAAAUCAUUUUCUUUUUCAAAAUUAUAGAUAUAAAUUUAUUUUACCAUAUUUUUCUUAUUAUUUUCCAAAAAGUAUUUUAAUAUCAAUCGUGUAUAGUAAAAUUGGUUUAGGUAUAUAUUUUUAUCUUACAAAUAUAUAUAUUAUGCUAAAAAACACGUGUUAAUAUUUUUCCCACUAAAACGUUAUAAAGUGUUUUUGACGUUGAAAAUCUUAAAACAAAUACUAACAUUUUAGUUUGGGAAGUGUUAUUAAAAAUAGGUUUCUAUUUUUUAUAAUAAAAAAUAAAAAAACACCUUUAACAAAAUUUUGAAUUAAAAAUAGUUAUUUUUAAGGAUUUCUUUACAAGACAUUGUUAUAUAAAUAAUUAAAAAUUAUUUAUAAAUACGAUUUCAAAAUUACUUUUUUGAGACCUCUUUACGUUAGUAAUGAAAAUCCUGAUUUUAAUAUUAUAAGUAAUCAGUAAUUAUUAGAAAUGAAAUCAGAAUUUUUUCUUAUUUUUAUUUUUAGUAUAAAAUUUUUGGAAUAAUAAUAAUAAUAAUAAUAUGUUCGCAUUACAUUUUCAGAAAACAAAGUACGCUAUUGGUUGGGUUUUUGAAUUAAAAAGCAAGUUGACAACUGUUGAACCGCAUCUUCUACCAACCAAGGGUCUAUGCCAGUCGACUGUACAUCACGUGCAUAUCAACGACCAUAAGAAAGCAGGUUUCAAGCCAAGAUUGGCGAGUGGGGGCUAUUUCCUACUCGAGAGCGUGCAGAAGGCAUGGAAAUAAGACAGAAAGGAGAGGGGGGUUUUGCUGGGGGUUUUUGAAGAGCCAAAACGGCAAAACGGGCGAGUUAGUGGAGAUUGUAGAGCGCCGAGGAAAUCGCAGAGGGGGAGUGGUCACGUGAGUGCAGUACUCUUUCUUUCUCUCUAGCGAAGAUGAAAGAGAUUGCCGUAGCGCGUAUUCCCUCUCUUAUUUCUGGAGAGAGAAAAUCGUAACGUCAUUUUGAAAGCUGAGCGCUCUCUCUCGGUUCUCUCUCUUUAGCCUCCCUCCGUUCCCCAGAUGAACAUUUUGGUUUCAAACCCUUGAAAUUCCCUCUCUUCUCUCAUCUUCUUUUGUCUUCUCUCGAAGUUGGGUUUUGCUAGGGUUCCAAUCCUUUGUUUUAUGCUUUUUAAAAAUGGCGGAGUUUCCUCCAAAUUUAGAUGAUGGAGAACUAUGGCUUCCUUCUGAUAUUUUCCCAGAGGAAGUUCCUUCUAAAUUUGGGACCCACCACUUGCCUUCUGAGUUCGCUUACAUGAGCGACAUCGCUCGGCAGUUUGCUGCUUUCACUUUGCUUCAGCCGCCCCAGACCCAUCCUAAACAUCCUCUAAACUUGGCACCAAACUUGGAGGUUACUCUCUGUCCCUUGUGUUCUCUAUUUAACUAAGCUUCAGAGGAUUUGCAUUCACGUUGAUGCUUUGAUUUGUGGGUUUGCAGCGGUUGAGACCGAUGAUUAGGUAUGGGCCGUAUGGCCGUCCCGGUUGUAGCACCACUGUUGCAGUAACUGGAAUUGGUGACAGCCCUUGUGUGUGUGACAGUCCUUGUGGGUGUGACUGCCGACUCCGGAGCUGCUGGGACGGUGGUAGGCCGUUGUACGAGUACCGCAAUGUGAAACCGCCUCAACCCCAGGUAAAAAAAAGGGGAAAAACUGCGAAAAGGACCGUUUGUGUUGAGUCAUUUCAAAGCUUUUCACUUUUUCAGCUUUAAUACACAGGUCGAUAGCUUUCUGCAAACAAGGACUUUGGCUCUGCAGAGGCACCAAAACCGCUUUCAGAACCGGUCUUUGCCGUUUCAGAGAAGCGGGUCUGGGUUGGGUGGUGGUGGUGGUGGUGGUGGUGGUUUUGGUUUUGUGAGAAACUAUGGAGGGACAGGUGUGUUUCUUCCCCGUAUUUCAUCCACAACCACCACUUCUCCAAACCCCACCGCCACUGAUGACUCUAGAAAGAAACAAGGUGAGUUGUUACCGUUUUUCUUUCUUUGGGCACUUUUGAUAUAUUUGGUGUGGAUAUCUGCGUUUUCCGCUUUAGGUCUGCUAUUAUGUCUUUUGUUUAUUUUAGUUCCCCAUAUUUUAUUGCUUUUGCUUGUCGCCUUUGUCUUCAAAACAUAGAACCAGCUUCAAAUUCUUUAUCUGGGUUUUGCUUCGUUGGGAAUCUGGAACCAUUUUUCUUUUCCUUUUUUUUUAUCAAAAAGAAAAUUACUUUCAGACUUUAGGAGGCAUUUAUUGUGGUGAACUGUUGUUGGUUCCAGUCUUCUUUCAGUUUUUUCUUUUGUAGUUUUUCAAAUCUCAGUCAAAGAAAGCACUAAUUUGCAACUGCUCAAUUCAGAUGCUUGACAGUUACUAUGUUCAUAACCUCCUGUUUUUCUUGAAUUUUGUCAUUUAUUUCGGUUAUAGUUUAAUAGUUUAUUGGGUCUGGCAUUUCUGUUGAAAUUGUUUUGUCCAUCUAUCAAUAUGAGCCUGCUGCCCAUGGUGUGGUGCCAAUGCAGCUUAUUAUAAUGCUUAACAAACCAAUGGACUGAAAUAUAUCUAAUAAAACUUUGUCGCCUUUCAUUACAAGUCUGAUAAAGAAGUCAGUGAAUCUAAUUGACAAACAAAAUGUCUUUAGCAAUCUAUAUGGAUUUCUUCUUCUCUUAUUCCACAUCUCUUUUGUUGAUAUCAUUAUUCCUUGUCUAUGGUUGCCUGGUCCAGAAUAUGAAAAUGAACAAUUUUAAGGAUAAUUUGCGAUAUUUUGUUUUCAUUUAUCUUAAUCUAAGGAUGAAACAUUGGCAGGCAUGAACAAUUGGCAUGGGAUGCAAGUCAGUUUACCGAGGAAACCAACCAUGAAUGGCAUUGGUGGGGGGAAACAAGAGGAGUGCAUCCGCCAGCUUCCUCCUGAGCUUGCCUUGCCUCAAGACUGGACCUACUGAGUUCCUCUUCUUCCUUGUAAAGAGUUACUCUAGUGGCAGUGUGGAACAUAAGGAAAUAAGAGCUCUAAGCAGGACAGAAGUCAAAUAAUCAUUUGGGUUUUGUGUAGAACUAAUAGAAAUUACUAUUAAAGCUGAAGUGGGUAAUCCUUUCUUUUAGUAAGGCUCUAUAACUUUGUAGAAUAAAUAAUGGGUUUGAAGCUUUUUGUAGGAAUUUGCAUUGUUUCGUUAUUUACAUUACUGUCAGCCCUCAGAAAACAUUGUUUCUGCCCUAUUGUUUUCUUCUUUGUGCAGUAUUGAAUGCUUAUAGCUGGAAUAACACAGCACUGCUAAAAGGACUAUUGCUUCUUGUGUUGGGCUUUCAGUUGGUGAAUCCAUGAAAGGCACAUUAAUGACUCUGCUGCAGUCAUGGAAUGUUAAUUGAAAUCUGCCAACCUUUAGGAAAUUUUUGUGUGUAAUUUUCUCAAGGCAAUUUUCAGUGGUGGAUUUUUGGGUUUGGAAUCAUUCAUAGGGUAUUGAUGAUUUUUUUCCCUCCAAGCAAAUGGUUUGAAUUGUAUAGUCUUUACAGCCUGUUCACAAUACCAGCUUUUAUAGGAAGGAAAUAAAUGAGUUACUUAGAUGCCAACUUGAAACCAACCUUACGAUGAAGUUGAAAGCUUAUGAAUAGGGAAGGGCUUUUUGUGGAAAUUUUUAUUACACCAGUCCGAACUUUAUGAAUUGUUUUUACUUUUUGUUUCUCUCUUCUAAGGAAAAUUUAUGAAUGCCCUCGCUCACUUCAACUGCCUUCAUUCUCAUCCUAUUUAUGCGCUUGAAGCAGAUACCCAAUUCACUUAAUGUAUGGUGUGCCCAUCCAUCUAAACCUAAUAUACCUUAACUACUACCCCAUAUGGGUUUUAUGGAGCAGUGUAUUUUUAAAAAAUUCAUAAUAUAAAAAAUAAUUCUAAAUUUAUGAUAUCUUUGAAUUUUGAAUAAAAUUGAGUUUACUUUUACAUUGAACUCCUUUUUUGAAAUGGGUGAAUUUAAUGUAAAAAAACAAGUUUAAUGUAGAAAAUGUAAACUUUUUUUUUUUUAAAUAUGAGUAAUAAAAAAAAAUUAAGUUCAAAAGAAGAAUUCAAUAUAAAAAGUUUUAAAGUUAAAAGGAAAUUCAUUUUCUUAAGAAAAAAGAGUAGAAAAAAUAACGAGUUUAGUACAAAAAUAAAAGAAGUGUUGAAAAGUUCUGUAUUUUUAUAUUUGUUUUUAAAUAAUUAUAUUUCAAUAAUAUUUUAUUUUUUAAAAUCCCCUAUUCUCAGGACGGUCACAUGAAUGCAUUUACAAAAAAAAGAGAAUUGUCGUUGUCAUUACAAUUGUUUUAAGAAAAUUAAUUUAUUAUAUAAAAAGGAAUGUUUUAAAUUUAAAUAAAAUUAUUUCUUUAAUUUAAAGAAAAUAUUUAAAUUAUUUUAAAAUUUUAUAAAUAUUAAUUUAAUAAAAAAAAAACUUGCUAUUUGAAUUUACAUAAAAUUGCAUUUAUUCCUUCCUUUUAAAAAAAAGUAAUAAAUGAAACAUGAUUUAUUUUAUUUGUAGAUAUGAAGGGUAUUUUUAUGUACAUAUGUCGUGCGAACCUUUUCGUUGUGACAGAGGAGGAGCCCAAUGUGCAUAAUAAUGACAAUUGUCCAUCCAAUUACAUCAAUGAUAUGGCAUAAAAAUACAUAAUUUUCAUUUUUUUCAAAUAUAUAUGUGAUGUAAUAUACAAAAAGUUAAAUGAUGAAAUUUAAUAAAGAGUAAUGUUUGCAUGACCGUGUACAUUAGUAAUCUCAUGAAAUUGAAGCUUUCAAUUUGACAGAAUGAUAUGUUAUUUUUUAUUUAUGAGAAGAUUUCAUCUCUUAUUUAGUAAAUUUGUAUUAAGGGUUUAGUGACAUUUUCAUAUGGAUUUAGUAAUCUGAUCUUUAUUUAUACACUUCUCGAUAGAUGAUAGCUUAAGACAAAUACAUUUCAUCUGGCAUACGAGGAGAUGAUUAUUACAUUAAAGGACUCGUCGAUCAUCCUUAGCAUCCUUAUAUCGAGUAUAAUCAUAUUUACCACAAUAUAUGAUAAUGAUCAUACUAUGACAUAACUAGUUAAUAGAAUACUUGAGUUGUUAAGUCUAAUGUCUAAAUAAAGUUAUACAUGUAUAGAAAAUAGUCAAUUUGUUUAAGAUGGUUGAGAGAGCUUUAUAGUGAUGUUACUAUGUAGACGAGUGAUAAUAGGGUCCAAUAACUUGCUCAAGAUACACUUACAUAUCUAUCUCAUUAGUUAAGCCUUAUGACACAACGAUAUGUCAAAUCAAUUGUUGGAUACACAACAUUACUUGAGAUAUAGUCAUAAACAUCAAUAUUUCUCUUAUACUACAUUAUCAUGCAAAAGAAGAGUACUUUAAACUCUCAUAGGGCUGGGGAUAUGGGUAUAUCCCUAUAUUUGGAUCUCACCAAAAUAUAUAAUUUGUAUGAUCCAUUAGGAUUGCUUUUGCCAUCUAUGCAAGAGCGAUUAGAUGUCCUAUCCAUAGAUAAUAUAAGACAUUGUAAUUCAUAUAUUUUUUUUCCCAUAUAUAUAUAUAUAUAUAUAUAUAUGUAUAUAAUGUGGUUGAAUCUAUUGUUCAUGCAUUUUUUUUAGUUUAUUUUGGAUCCCCAUAUAUUUAUCCAAUUUAGUUAUUGAGCCACAAAUUAUAUCAGACUGUCGAGUAAGAAUAGCAAUGAGACAAGUCUUUUAAGUUUGUUUCAUCUCAAUUAUAUGUAUAAUUAAAUAAAAAAGAAUUUAAUUCAACUUUUUUUUUUGGGUUUUUUUAACACAAAAUAAAAAUAAUUUAUUUUUUAGUAAAAAAAAUUAUAAAAAAUUACAACAUUUUUUUAUUUAUAAAUUAUAAUCAUUUUAAUAAAAUAAAAAUCUUUAAAAAAAAUAAAUAAAUGGGGCUAAGCAAGUUGAUUCGAGAAUUUUCACUAUCCACCACGAUUUUCACAAUACAUUGUGACUUACUUGGUUUAUUUUUUAUUUUUGGAUCGAGGACGAGAAUUGAUUUAAGUAAUUGAGGUGGGAUUAGGAUGGAAGUGACAUGUUUUGUUUUCAUCAUUGAGUCCUAUCAUCCAAAUAGAGAAUUGAUGUUAUUUGGUACGGUACCGUCCAAAGCAAGAGCACCGUUUUCACCUUUUAACCAUUAUAAAGGUGUUAGCAUGGUUAUGAAUGCAUACUUUGACUAGAUCUAAGAUCAUUUGGAUGAUUGCAUAUCAUAUGCUAUCAUGUAUGGUGUACUUGUGAUGUAUUCAUUAGAUUGUGCUCUUUAUUAUAUGCAUUAAUACAAAUGGGUCUCACUCAUAUGCGUACAAAAGCCAUAUUGAAGUUAGUGGCUAUCCUAUUUCAACAGCAUGUAUAAAUAACUAAGCACAUCGUGCAACUGACUUAGAGACAUGAAAUUAUCGUAGAAAUUUAGAAAUUGUUUGGUAACUGUCUUUUAAAAUAAUUUUUUGUUCUUUAAAAUGAAAAAGUAAAAAAAUAUUUGAUAAUUAGAAAACUAUUUUUUGUUUUUUUGUUUUUAAAAAUAGAAAAUAAAGUGUUUUUAAAAAACGUCUUUUAAUUGUUUUUAAUUAUUUUUUUAUGUUUUAUGAGGAUUAUUUUAAAAAAUAAUUAUAUAAAUAUGUAAAAUAAUUAAAAAUAAAGUAUUAAAUAUAAAAAUUAUUUUUAAAAAUAUUAAAAACAUUUCAAGUUCUCAAACAAACUUUUAUUCUACAAAACAUCAUAAAAUAGUUUUUAAAGAUUAUUCUAAAAAAUUGUUUUCGAAAAUAGUUAUCAAAUAAGGUCUUAACAUGAAUAAACUUAUACCAAAGCAUGGAACAUAUUGAAAAAUUAUUUUGGUCGCCUUUAGGGAUGACAAUUGAGCGGGUUUGAGAUGAGACACUUUUAUCCCAUGCUCAUCUUAAUCAUAUAAUUAUUAUGAAAUAAAAGCUAAUUAAUUAAGUAAAAACACUCCAGAGGAGGGUGAAUUGAGUUUUAAAAUUUUUUUUUCAAAAACUAUUCUCAGGUUAUAUUGAAAAAAAUUAAUAGAAAUGAAGAGAUGAGAGUUAAAGAGAUUGCAAACUCAAAUUUUAUAGUAGUUCAUCCAAUUUCGCCUAUGUCCACUCUCCUUAAGUUUUUUCCAAGUGAGGGUUCUACUAGUAUGAAGCUUCAAUCAAGCUUUCAAGUCUUUACAAUUGGAUUUCCCGGCUCUAAUGAACACUACAAUCAAUCCUUCAAGUUUAUCCCCUACUUCAAGACUAAGCAUUCAACCUUACUUGAAUAAUAAAGAUUUAAAGCACUUAAAUCUAGCACAAUUAAUAAACAAGUACAAAAAAGACUAGGAUGAACACAAAGGUACACUAGAAAUGAAUUGCAAGUGAUAGCUUAAUAUACAAAUGAGAUAAUGAGAGCUUUGAAAGUGAGAAACAAGUAGGUAGAUAGUUUAAUGUAGGUGUUCUCUUAUUAAUAAAUGAAUAAGAGCUCUCUAUUUAUAAGUUUUUAACCUCAAGCAUAAAAGUACACUAAUAAACUUUUCUCAAUUGAGUUUCAAUCAAUUGGCUGACUAGUCAGUAGACAAUUAAUGUUUGACAGGUGAUUAUUAGAGAUUCGACUAGAACUUGACUGGGAAGAGGUACCCAUCGACUAAGAAGACAUUUCUCUCGGUCGGGAGAGUAAUCUUUUUGGAAGAAAGAGAAAAUUUUUGCACCCCUCAAUUGGUAUUUGAUUGAGAAAGGGUAACCAAUCAACCAAUUCUUUAUUUGGUUCAGUAGGUUCAACCCAUCCUCCACCUAUUGGAUAUAUUUUGUUCAAAAACCUAUCUUUUUCCAUCUUUAAUAAUUUUUAUAAAACAAAUUUGAGAAGUUUUUUUACUAAGGUUUUGGAUUAAUACUUGAGUUUAUAAAAAAAUACGAUUUUUUAAGUCUAAAACGAGUAUGAAAAAGAUGCAUUUAUGAAUUCAAAUUCCUAAUUGCACCCAAGUGAUCACCUUACAUUGAGUCUCUAUGCUUUGAAUAAUCUUCAUGCUCUUUUGAACUUGCAUCUCUUAGAUCGUUAACUUGAUUUCUCAUUUGAAUUAUUUGAUUAAUACUUGAAGUUUAUCUUGAUUUGAAAUGUUAGUAUACUAAGUUAUCAUCAAAAUAUAAUUAGGGAACAUUUAGGCCAACAAUUAUUUUUUAUACUUGUCCCAAACCCAAAAUGGGAUGGGUAGAAGGAUUCUCGUUAAACAUAAUAAUCUUGUUCUUGGCACACCCCAUCAAACUAUAUCUUUGAUGUACCUCCAACUCUAAUUGGUCAUGUUCUUUCUCAAGCUUUAGUUUUUUUUUUUGUAAAAUAAGUAAUAUAAAAAAAUAAAAAUUUUGAUUAUAAAAAUUAAAUUUAUGGUAUAUGAGUUAUGCAUCUCUUAUAUCUUAACUUAAAAUUAAUAUAGAUAUAAAAAAGAUAGUAAAUAAUAUAUCUCACUAUUCAUCAUAUAAUAUGUUUAAUCAAAUAUGAAAUAUGUCAAAUGAUAAAAUAACUAAUCAUAUCUCAUAAUCAACAAAAAAAAUAAUAUAAUAUUUCACUUUUUAUUCUAUCAUAUUUUAUAUCCCCAAAACAAAAAAUAGCUAAAGAGAGAGCAGAUAAUUGUAAAGAAGAUGAUAUGAUAAGGUUAGAGUGUUGAAAAUUGUAAAUAUGAUGAUAUGGAGAUAAAUAAAUAAUUGAUGAAGAAUAUGUUUGGGAGUGAUUUUAAAAAACGUUUUUAAUAUUUUUAAUAUUUAAAUAAUAAAAAAUUUUAAAUAUUAAAAAUAUUAAAUAAUUUUAAAUAUUAAAAAUGUAAAAAAAGGCUUCUAGAAUCAUGACUUUAAAUUUUGAUUAUCCUUCUAUUAGGUUUUUGGUAGGAAGAUGGUAGGGUUUGCUUUAACAUUAGAAGUUACAAUGAUGUUUCAACUUUGACGCCACACGUGGCGUUGGCUUAGCCGCUUUGGUGCUGUAAUCGACUAAUUUCUUUAGGUGAAAGUUUAAACCAUGUGUUCAGUUACGGCCACGUGGAACCAGCAUCCUCGUUGCAUAAACGCAUGCACUUUCUUCCCCGGACAUGCCGGACGAGUGAAUUUUAAGGAAGGUUCGAUGUUUUAGGAAAGUUUGAAAAAGCAUCGAACGGGAUUCUGAGAUUUUGAAUUCCCUUGAUGAACAAAAUCUAUACAAUUUAAAAAUCACGCAACAAAUCAACCAAAAGAGAAAUUCCAAAGAAUCCAAAUCCACUCAACCCAUCCAAACAAAAUAAAUUCACAAAAACGACUCACAUUUUGGAAUUCACUUCAUCAAUCUCUGCGAUGGGUGUUCCUCAGGCCAUGCAAACCCUAAGCGAGAGAGCAGCAUUCACGAGGGAGUCUCUGCAAAAGAGCCAGACCAUCACGGAUAGUAUGGUCGCCAUUCUCGGCUCCUUCGACCACCGCCUCUCCGCUCUCGAAACCGCCAUGCGUCCCACUCAGGUGUUUCUUCAUUUUCUCCUCGUUUGGUUUCCGUGAAAAAUUCAGGAAAGGACAAGAAAAUGGAAAGAAGAUUGCGGGCUUUAUGAGUUCUGUUUUUUGAUUCUCACAAAAUUUGGGUGGAAAAAAAACACAACAAAUUGUGGAAUCUAGGGUUUGCUUCCGUGUUCAUUCGAUUUGUGGGUUGAAUUUUUUUACGGCCACAAUGAAAUCCUCCUGACUGCUUGAUUUGAAUAAAAAAUUGUUAAAAGUGUUUUGAUAUGUUAAUUUGGAUUUGAUUUUGGUAGAUAAGGACGCAUUCGAUUAGGAAGGCCCAUGAGAAUAUAGAUAAGACACUGAAGGCGGCUGAAUUGAUACUGGCCCAAUUUGAUCUCACCCGCAAGGUUGGUGUCUCUUUCCGGCUCCUGUUUAAAUUGAUUUUAUGUCAUUCUUGAUUUCAGUUUGUCAUGUUGUGUAUAUUUUAACAUAGUUGAAAUUAUUAUGAGCUAAUGAAUUAUGCUUAUUGCUUCACAAUUAUGUACAAUGAUGAGAAGCACUUCCAGGACUCUGCUUUUAGAUUUUCAUUCAUCUGGUUUGUAAUACUCGAUCAAAAGAUUUUGCAUUUCCCCCCCUGUUCGGUUAACUGAGAGAACUCAUUAACAUUUAUACAAAAUCACAUGCAGAGACAAGUGUUAGGUGCAAAAAUGAGUUGCGGAUUGAGAAAAUAGCCCAUUCUAUAGCUUGGUGGUAACUGGUAUAUCUAUUUCAUGCUUUUAAUGUUUAUAAAUGAGACAUAAAUUGGGGGUGAGGCCAGAUAACAGGAAGGUAACCUCCUUAUUGAUUGUGGUUGUAUCACAAAAGAGGAACCUUCUCUAUCUAUUGGGUGAUGGAAUCAAUGUUUUGAAAACCGGACUGGGUAGUCUGACCGGUUGGACCGUCUAUUGGUCUUCUUCUUAAUCUAGGUAGCCUCUUUCAGCUGUUUUGAAGUUGAACUGGUCAAGAACCGACCAAACUGGCUAGCUGGUUUUACCAAAUUUGGCCGUUUUUACCAAAACUGUUCAUCUUGGAUCUCUUGUCUAAAAAAGAGAACUACUACAACAAUUGGGCUGCACCACUCUUUUAAAUAUAUUACGAUUUAAAUUCUUUUUUUUUAUAUUAUGAUUUAAAUAAUAUUAUCUACCGGCUUAAUAAAUCCAUAUAAAAUGAAAAUUUUGAAAUAAAUAUGAAAAUAAUUUAGGUUAACGAAUAUAAUAAUUUUUAAGAUGAUAGAAUGUAGAGUAUGUAGUUGUUGAAAUCUAGAUUAAAUAAUAAAAGUUUAUUUCAUUUUGGAUAUAUCUUUUUAAUAAUAAAAUAUUAUAAUUUGAUCUAUUAAUAUUAAAGAUAAAAAAGAUGAGGAAAAUCUUUAAGUUUGGGACAGGUUGUUCAACCCUAAUCAAACCAUGACAUUAACAUCAUAUUAUAAAAAUAUAUAAUUUAUAUAUUAUUAAAAUUUAAAAUAACUAUAUUAAUUUAUAAUUUGAUCUAUUAAUAUUAAAGAUAAAAAAGAUGAGGAAAAUCUUUAAGUUUCUUAAUAUAUAUAUGCCAUUAAACUAGAAAUGCAAUUGACACACAGUGUAUAACUAUACAUGGUCUAUUAAUGGGAAAUGUCACACAUUGGAUAGGGGAGAAAGUUUCUGACGUUAUAUAUGUAUGUGCUCCUCUUAACCUUGUAGACGUGUUUUAAAGUUAUGAGGACCCCUUUGGGUCCAAAGCGGACAAUAUCUACAUGGUUGGGUGUGGGUCGUUACAAAUGGUAUCAGAGCCGAUCUUUGAUCCCAGAGCAGGGGUUUGUUUGGACUCAUAAGGGGUGUUUGUUUGUUUGACCCUAUAAUCCCAUGGGUUACAACGAGAACGUUGUGUCUGUAUAAGGAAGUAUUCAUGAUGUCCUACAUCGGAUAGGGGAGAAAGUUCAUGACAUUAUAUAUGUAUGUGCUCUGCUUAACCUUGUAGACCCGUUUUAAAGCUGUGAGGAUCUCUUUAGACCCAAAGCGGACAAUAUUUACAUGGUUGGGUGCGAGUCGUCAAAAUUCCCACUAAUACACUGUGUGUAGUUAUACACCAUGUGCCAACUACAUUUCUGGUUUAAUGGCAUAUACAUAUUAAGAAACUUAAAGAUUUUCCUUAUUUUUUUUGUUUUUAAUAUUAAUAGAUCAAAUUAUACCUUAAUAUAGUUAUUUUAAAUUUUAAUAAUAUAUAAAUUAUAUAUUUAUAAUAUGAUGCUAAUGUCAUGGUUUGAUUGGGAUUGAACUACUUGUCCCACUAAUACACCGUGUGCCAACAACAUUCUGGUUCAAUGGCAAGUUCAAUUCUGAGAACGUUGGUUACAAUCACCUUGGACUCUACUAUUCUAGAAGUUUGAAAUAGGUUUUAACCAAUGUAAGGCUUCUCUAUUCAUCAAAAUUGUGGACCAUCCCAGUCUUUCCCCAUAUCUUUAUGCAAGCCAAAAAGAUUGCAUAGACUUUUAAAUUAAUUAAUAAACUAAAUGAUAACUAGAGUUUAUUGUUUUUAUUAAAAAAAUGUAGGUUGUGUUUUUUUUUUUUUUUGGUUAUUGGAGGGUGUGUUUUAUUGGUUAGUGGAGCUAUUAAAUUAUUGUUAUCUACCAGAAGUUUUUGAACAUUAAGAUAGUGUCAGUCUUCUCUUCUCUGAAAACUUCGAUUUUUCCUUAUUGCGUGUGGUGAUUAACAUCCAUUAUGUAUGGUAGCUCCAAAACAAUACUUCAUAGCACAUAUGAUCUGUUUCUCUAUGUUGAUCUCAAUUUUUCUUCAACUUUUAGGCGGAGGCUAAAAUACUGAGAGGGCCACACGAGGAUCUAGAAAGUUACCUAGAAGCAAUGGAUCAACUGAGAAGCAUUGUUCAUUUUUUCAACUGUAACAAAAGUUAUAAGAGCAAUGCUGGAGUGCUUAAUCAUGUCAAUAACUUACUUGCAAAAGCUAACUUAAAGAUAGAAGAGGAGUUUAGACAGCUCUUGACAUCUUACAGGUUUGUUCUUUUGCAUAUACUCAGUGUUACUAUUAUUUAUGAUUUCUUGGUUGGAACCCUGGCAAUCUCAUUCCUGGAAGCAUUGUGCUUCACAACAAAUGUUUCCUGACAUAAAUUUUCUGAGAUGAAUGAAAAUUGGUUUUUUAUUUAUAUUUUGUUUCUUGUGCAUGAAACAUAUUUUGGACUUUUGGCAAGUUCUAAUUCUUUCAAUCAGGGUUGAGUAACUGUCUUUUCAUUUGUAGCUGCUGAAGUUGUAUCUCUUUUGGAUUUCAGCAAACCAGUGGAACCUGAUCGCCUUUUUGAUUGCCUCCCCCACUCUCUACGACCAUCAUCAGGGUCUCCUGGGCAUCAGGGUGAAGCUACUGGCAAGAAUCCUUCUUCUACCAAUCACUCUGAGCACAACAAAAGCUUAGAAACUGCUGUUUACACUGCUCCAACUCUUAUUCCACCCAGGAUUCUGCCAUUGCUGCACGAUUUAGCCCAACAAAUGAGUCAAGCUGGUCACCAACAACAACUCUACAAAAUUUAUAGGUGAGAUUUUUUUAUUUUUUUUUAACUCUGUUUCUGAUGCAUUAACAUUGCCCAACAAUUUCUUUUCCUAGUAUCACGGAUUUUUAUUUUAUACACACACACACACACACACACACACACACACACACACACAUAUAAUAGAAAUAUAUUUGAGAAUUGUCAUCAUUGAAUCCCACUUCAAUGCUAUUUUUUGUUUUUAUUCUAUCUGUAAGCACAUGGUAAGCAAUCUAAAGUGAUUCUUGUUUGUAGUUAUCAUUUUUGUUUUGGAUAGGCACUUUGCCUGUAGUCAUCAUCAAUUUCUUCAUAAGCUGGGAAAAUUGAUAGUUAAUAUGUUUAUAAUCAUGCAGAGAAACCCGUGCUUCAGCUUUGGAACAGAGUCUCAGGAAAUUAGGUGUGGAAAAACUUACUAAAGAUGAUGUCCAGAAGAUGCAGUGGGAAGUUUUGGAGGCUAAGAUUGGAAAUUGGAUUCAUUUCAUGCGGAUUGCUGUAAGGGUUUACUAGGAACUGGAUAGGAUUAUUUGUGUGUGUGUGUGUGUGUGUGUGUGUGUGUACGUAUUUUCUCUUAAUCCAGCCAUUUCAUCAUGCUUGUAACAGGUCAAAUUGCUAUUUUCUGGGGAAAAGAAAGUCUGUGGUCAAAUAUUUGAUGGUGUUGAUUCUCUCAGGGAUCAAUGUUUUGCAGAAGUUACUGCAAACAGUGUAGCUGUGCUCCUUAGUUUUGGAGAUGCUAUUGCCAAAAGCAAGAGGUCCCCUGAAAAAUUAUUUGUUCUCUUAGACAUGUAUGAGAUAAUGCGAGAACUGCAUUCAGAGGUAUGAUUUAUAUAACUAGUUGCAUAAACACUGAAUUAUGGAUACUAAACUAGCCAGCAGAUUGGAAGUUGAUAUUGGUUAUGUGAAGUUUUAGUGAGCUGCUUCUAAGGUUUCCCAUAAUUUUGGAGGAAAAGCUUUGUUGCAAUUAAUGGAACCUAUAUGAAACUACUUGAGCUGUCAAUAGGCAGACAACAUAAAACAAUUUUCAUCAUUGCUUAGGAUAGAAAAUUUGCACUUUUUCCUCCAAUACCACUUGUCUCCUAUUCUUAAAAUGUGCAAGGUGCACCUAAGUUGGAAAAGUCUCCUAUGGCUUAGGCACGAGGUGCAGCACAAGGCAUGCACCUGAGUGAAGUGAAAUGCGAGUUAUGAUGUAUAGCAAUUUUAUAAAUAUGAUCCAAAAUCCAAUCCAAUCAACAAAAAACUUGAGAUUUCAAAUAUUUAAAAGAAGCAUUCAACAAAAAAGUAAUGAAAUAAUAUAAACUUCAAUAUAUAGUUAAAUUUUUUAAGAAUAAAAGUGUUUAAAAAGGAAGGGUAAAGUAGAUGAGGUGUGGCUCUCCUACAAAGUGCAUGCCUUGGCAAGUAAAGCACUAUAACUGGGGAUUAGUUUUGCCCUGAGCCUAGGCAUGCUUUAGGCGUGCCUGUUACAACUAUUUGUAAAUGAAUAGCAUAAAUAAAUGGCUUAAAGGGUUUUAACAACAAAGAUCAAAAUUCAGUUUGUUUCAUCACUGGACUAUUAGCAGAUAAUGCUUAAUUGCUACUAUGUCGGUUGUAAAAUGAAUUUGAGUGAUUCACAGCCACACCCACAGAUAUAUACACAUAUCAAGAAAUCAUUCUUGUUUGUUAUUCAUAAUUGGUUGUUCUAUUAAACAUGAAGUGUACUUUGGGAACAGAUGCAGAUUGAUAUACAUAUGUAUUGUUAAACUAAUGCAGAUUCUGUUUCUUUCUUCUUUUUUGCCCCUCUUGGGGUGUGGGGGUGGUAUUGGUGUUCAUGUUGGGGGUGAGUGUAGAUUGAAACAAUAUUUGAAGGUCAGGCCUGUGUCGAAAUGCGGGAAUCUUCAUUGAGUUUGACAAAGCGGCUAGCUCAGACGGCCCAAGAGACCUUUGGUGAUUUUGAAGAAGCCGUAGAAAAAGAUGCCACAAAAACUGCUGUUCUUGAUGGAACUGUGCAUCCUUUGACAAGCUAUGUAAUUAAUUACGUGAAGUUUUUAUUUGAGUAAGUCUAUAUAACUGUGCUGUCCAUCUCAUGCUGUUGAUCCUUUCAUAGACAGAAUCUAGUAAAAGUAUAUGUUGCCCUAUUAUUCCUUGAUAUGUUCAUCCACUUCCAAUGAAUUAUUUGUCUUGAUAGAUUUUGGAAAUGUUUCUCUGGUCUGUUGAAUUAUUCCUUAAGGUUUGUUUUUUUAUUUUUUUGGACUUAUUCCUCCUGACUAGUUCGUUCAUGGAUUUGAACAUUCAAAAUCCAUUAGUUUAUGUUUUCAAGUGUUUCAGUACUCACUUUCUGUUUUCUAAUGUCAUGUUAUUGCAUCUAUUCCCCUGUUUGGGUUAAUAUGCUUAUAUAGCUCUAUUGCACUUUCAUUUGGUAAUGUCUUGUUUCCAGAAUAUCUGACUAAUGGAUAUCAAAUGUGCACAGCUAUCAAUCGACAUUAAAGCAACUCUUCCAAGAGUUUGGUGAAGGGGAUGCUGAUGCUCAAUUAGCAUCUGUGACAACACAGAUUAUGCUGGCUCUUCAGAAUAACUUGGAUGGGAAAUCCAAGCAAUAUAAAGAUCCUGCAUUGACUCAAUUAUUUCUUAUGAAUAACAUUCACUACAUUGUCAGAUCAGUGCGAAGGUUUGUUAUAUCUUUUUAGCUUGAUUGUUGAUCUGAAUUUAUGCUGUGUAAAUAGUUUCUCCUUUUUAUUGUUCUCAUCCUUAGGUCAGAAGCAAAGGAUUUGUUGGGGGAUGAUUGGGUGCAAAUACACCGAAGGAUUGUACAGCAGCAUGCAAACCAGUAUAAGAGGGUAUCUUGGGCAAAGGUUUUGUUCUUUGACCAAACUUGAUAUAAAAUGUCCAUGAUUUGUUACUAUUUUUCCAGUGCAAUUUCUUUUUCUUAUUUAGAUGUUGUUUGUUUUUACCCCACAAUUCUACUAGCUUUAUAGAUGUGAUGUGUACCUCUCUAUUCCUGGAAUAUGAUCUUCUGAUCCUGUAUAAAUUUUCUUCUCCAUUGCUCACUUAGAACUGUCAUGAUACUGUUUGUUCUUCACCAAGGGUAAGGUUGACACACACAAAAGAUUCUUCUGUCUUUCCCUUAUUAUCUGGAUUCUGUUGAUGAGUAAGGGAUGACGGACAUGCUGGACACUAUACUGCCACAGACGCAUAAACAUAAGACAUAUUUAUCUUUCAAGUGUCUAUCUUAUGCACAUGGGUUAGUAGGCUUUGUUGAUAGAGCAGCAUGAUAAUUAUUGCGGCCUUCUAUAUGGUCUGGAUUUUUUGAAUUUAGAGCUUGCGUACAUUUAUGUAUGUUAAAUCUUCCCCAAUACUCAUUAUAUCUUUGUAUGCACUUAACUAGUUUCGUAGACAUCUUGAUACUGAUCUUCCUAAAAAUUAAGCUUCGUUGGGGAUUAUAAUUAGUUCUGGAUUGAGAAUCAUUUGGCAAUAUUUGCUGCUUACUCUUAUGGUAUAUAUCUCUAUAAGACAAAUUGCUUAUAGUUGUAGGUUGUUGGAAAUUGUUUGUUUCCAUUGAAUAAAUUGCAAGACUAUAAAUUUUAACCAUUGAUUGGACAGCAAUGUGAUAAAUGUCAUGCUGUAUUACAGUUUGGACAUGAAGCCCUUGUUUUGUUCAUGGUCCCUGAUGUAUCUUGAUAUUCAGCUAUAAAUAAAUACAAGAGGCAAAUAUUUGAGAAAGCCAUUGAAAUGUAGCCUUCUAAGAUUGUGUUGUACAGACCUACAUUAUUGUUUCUGAUUAGCAUCACUUCAAAUAUAUGCUUGAUUUUGUCUCACACUUCUGCUAGGAAAGUUAAGUAUCAAUCACGCUAAGCCACUGAUAUUUCUUGCUCUACAGAUUCUGCAGUGUCUGUCCAUUCAAGGUGCUGCUUCAUCAGGUGGUGGUGGUGCGAUUGCAGAAGCUGGUAGCGGCAGUGGAGUUUCAAGAGCGAUGGUGAAAGACAGGUACAAGACCUUCAACAUCCAGUUUGAGGAGCUUCAUCAAAGGCAAUCUCAAUGGACAGUUCCAGACAGUGAGUUGCGAGAGUCAUUGAGGCUGGCAGUUGCUGAAGUUCUCCUACCUGCCUACAGAUCUUUCAUUAAACGUUUUGGGUAUCUGUUUUCUCACACUCGUGACCUGUUCUUCUAAAAUUCCUGUUGCUUCCUUAUCCCUUGAUUGUUCAAAUGUGGUUUGGGUGUUACAGGCCUAUGAUUGAAAAUGGGAAAAACCCGCAUAAGUACAUCAGAUACACUCCUGAGGAUCUUGAGCACAUGCUGAGUGAAUUCUUUGAGGGGAAGACCCUGAAUGAACUAAAGCGGUAAAUAUACUCAAGAAGCUCUCAGUCCAUGUGAUGGCUAACACUGUUUUAUUCUUUGUACUAUGAUGCGAUCAAAUAAAAGCUGGGGUAGCCUUCCUUUCCCACUGAACGCUUUUAUUAGUGUUCUGAAGUUCUGUUGUUAUUUAACUUAUUCUUAUUUUUAAACUGCUGAAGUAUAUUUUCUGACUAGGUAACUUGAAGUAUGACUUAGCUAUAUGGGUUUAUUCUGGUAGAUUUCUUUGGGCAGAAUUUGGGUAUAUCCAAACUUAAGGCAUACCCCAUCCUGCUAAAAAUUUGUUAAGAUUUGGAAAUAGGGUAGAAAAGAAAAAAAAUAAAAUAAAAAAUAUAUAUAAAUAUAUAUAUAUAUAUAUGGGAGAAAAGUCAUGUUUUUGUUUGAUUAUGGAUAAAAAUGGGAUGUAAAAAUUGAUGAAAAUUUGAUGCAUUUUGUAACUCUUCAUUUUGUUCUUGGAAAGUGAGAGAAUUUAGGAGAUGAGUAUCGGAAAUUUUAGCAAAUUCAAAUAUAGAAUUUAUUUUCUAUCUUGUUAAUUUUGCAUUUAUAUUCUUUUUUUACUGAACCUCCUUUAUCUUUUCUCUUACAUAUACUAAAAAUAAAUACAGUGGAGAAGGAAAAAAGAAUUAAGUAAAUAAGAUACGAGUUCAAGAACCAAAAAGCCAUCUUUUUCCAUUACAUCUCACCAUUCAAAAAAGAAAAAGUAGAAUUUUGGGAACCUAAUUUCUUUUUUGGAAUAUUAAGCAAAGCAAAAUGGCAAUGAAAAGAGGUUUAUGUUUUAUAUUCUGUCUUUCCUAACCCUGAGUACAUAUGUUGGUGUGUGUAAAUUUGUGGCCUCUAGAUGCAAUAUAGUGUGCCUUGUAUGAAAAAUAUAAAUGUUAGCCCAAGGGGUUCUCCUAAUCAAGUUUUGAUGAUAACAAAACAGGUCUAAAGUUACUAAGGGUUAAAUCAAGUUAAUUGCUUCAAGUUUUCUUGAAAAAUUAAAGAAAGUUCAAACAACUCAAAUAGAAGAUUCUUGUUAAUGGAAAUUUGAGCUUAUUGAAGACUUAAGAAGGCCUAGGAACAAUUGUAAGGUUGUAUUUAAAGAUGAUGUGGAAUUUAAAUGAUUUAAUCUUGUUUUCUAUAUCAUCUGAAUCAAAAUUUCAUCUUCUAGUUAAACUUUUUGAAGAAAGGAGUCAUCACUUGAACAUUUUUUUAUUUGGUAGUUAUAACUUGAACUGUUACUAACAAAUUGAAAGGACUCACAAUAUAUUUUAAAUUUUGAAAAUGACCAUGUUCAUGUUACAACUUGCAGUAUAAACAAUUUGCAAAGCUUAAAAGAUGAAGUAGAUUAAUUCAAUUUUUUUUAGGUGAUCGUGAAUGCUUCCUAAUUAAAUUUCCUUCUUGUAAACCAUUUUAAUUAUGCUUCCAGGUGCAAAUAAAAUAUCCUCUGCUGCUCAUAACAGGUUCUUAUAGUCAUGAUUCAAUAAAUGUUUGUAGAGACCUAGUUCCUUUUGAGGAAGUGGAUUGCAACAUGGCCAGUGAUGUAAGAGUAACUGGUGUUAGAACUGAUGUUGAGGCAAACUGUUCCUGUUAUGCACAUGGUGCCAAAAAGAGAGUUUGGGAGCCUCAUUGUCUUCACUGAGGUCCAAAGAAGUGAAGGAAAGCCAUCAAAUUGGCUGCCAGUUAGAUUCCAACUGGGAUAUUGUUUCGGGAAAUGGUAAAAUAGAUAAUGCAUGCUUUGCUGGAUGCUCCUUGGGAGCUACUAGAAAUGAAUCUUUGGCUGAAUUUUCCCUAGGGAUAUUCUGGCCAGGAGCUAUGUAGAGAAGAAUGUUGAAGAUCGUAGGCCACUAUCAAAAGAGCAGCUCGGUGCACUUGAGUCAUUAAAAUUUUUAAUGCACUUAAGCUUUUAAAAAUCAUCCUUUCUUGAACUUAAAUCAAUCACAUCUUCAUCAGGUCAGAUGAUUUCAUGUUUUUUUAUCAAACCCUGAUUUUAAUUCUUUCAAAAUAUGCAUUAAAGGGUUUAUAUGGUGUGUAAGAUUCUUUCCCAGAGGUUUCUGACCUCGGUCUAGCCUUUUUUCUUUAGUUAUAGUGUAACUGGUCAAGACAGGGAGGAAUUGGUUGAGCCAAAAAGGCUCGAUCAGUCAAGGUGCACAAAAUGCAUCUCUAACUUCUAGUAGCAUUUUUUAACUGGUUACGGUAGGAGGCUCAACCAGUUGCUCAAUCGGUUGAGGUCUAGAACCCCAACAGUCACCUGCAAGUACAUUUAAUGUACAAUUGCCAAUGAACUAGUCAAACCGAUUGCUUGACCAAUCAAGCCUAAGUUAUGGGUUCUUGGGUUUCAGAGCUACUCACCUAUAUAUUGAGUCUUUUAAGAGCAUUUAUGAACAAGAGAUUUUGAAAUUGGGAUAAUUUCCAAAUGGAUUUUGAAAUCAUAACUUGAAUUUCCAAAUCAUUUCGAAAUGGUCCUUCAGCCUUGUGCAGUUGUCUUCAAAUGACCCUAACUUCUUCAUUUUAGCUCCGAUUUAUGCACCGUUUGAAGCAUUGGACUCUUGACUUCCCGAGCUUUGAAACAAUCUAUAGCUUGCCCAAAAUUGACCUUGGGAAGUGCUUCAGAUUUUACCUUAAAGUCAGAGUAUGUGUUGCUGCCAGAUUUUGAAUUCUAAAUUUCCAUGUCAACUUGAUUGCAUUUGUUUCAAACCUCCUCCAUUAUAGUUGCUUGCCCUUUAUCUCACUCCAUAACAUCCGUUGCUAGUAUUUUAUGUCUAUGAGUCACUCAUCACGCCCUUGCUUGGACUCGUCAUGGUUCACAAGUCCUGAAUCUCUUCUUUAUGCAUGUUUUACCACUUCUACUUCCUUGGAUGAUAAUGAAUUUUAUACUCAUCACAUUUUUCAUCCCUUAAACCUGAAUUAGGCUCAAAAUAGAAGUUAGAUCCAUAACUAGGGUCUUAGCAUCAAUUUGAUUUAAGUUGGAUGAUUUGAGUUUUUUUAUAUUCCAUAAAUCAUGUCAUAUAUGUGCUAUUGGAGCACAUAUUUUGGCUCUAAUCAGGUCUCAAGUUGUCUCCUCGAGCUUGGUUUGAUUGUUUUACCAAAGCCGUAAAGAGGUUUGGCCAUUCUCAGUGUCAAUUUAACCAUACUCUAUUUGUAAAACACACACCUGAGGGAAGAACUGUCGUUAUCAUCGUUUAUGUGGAUGACAUAAUUCUGACCAGAAACCAUAGGGAAGAAAUAGGCAAACUCAAGAGUUUUCUUACCUAUGAAUUCAAAAUUAAAGACUUGAAGAGUCUUAAAUAUUUUCUUGGGAUGGAAAUUGCUAGAUAAAAAUAAGUAUUGUAGUCUCCCAACAUAAGUAUGUUCUAGACUUGCUAAAGGAGACUAGGAUGCUUGGUUGUAAACCUACAAACACAUCUAUGGACCACACUAUUAAACUAGGAAUUAUUGAAGGAAGUUCUCUAGUGGAUAAAGGGAGAUAUCAAAGAUUUGUGGGGAAACUCAUCUCUCUCUCACACACAAAACCAAAUGUUGCUUUUUUUAGUCAACGUGGAUAGUCAAUUCUUGAACAAUCCAAUUGAGGAAUAUAUGAAAGUUGUGUAUCGUAUUCUAAAAUAUCUCAAAAUGACUCUAGGAAAGGGACUUUAUUUCAAAAGAGCACAAAAAAGAAACAUUGAAUUUUUUUCAAAUGUAGACUAGGAUGGUUCCGUAACCGAUUGAAGAUCAAUCUCAGGAUAUUGCACCUAUGUAUGGAGGAAUUUGGUUACUUGGCGAAGCAAGAAAUAGUCUAUUGUAGCUCGAAGUAACGCAAAAGUAGAAUUUAGAGCUAUGACACAUGGAAUUUGUAGAGGAAUGUGGUUAAAGAGACUCUUAAACAAGCUGAAAAUUUUAGUAGAAGAUUCUGUAAAGAUGUUCUGUGACAAUCAAGUUGUCAUAAUUAUUGCUAAGAACCUGGUUUAUCAUUAUUAGAAGAAGCAUGUAGAAAUAGACCGUCAUUUUAUAGGGAGAAGCUAGAAGAAGGGAGAAUUUAAUUGGUUUACACUCCAAUAGCUCUCUACAUACCAGACAUCCUUACCAAGGCACUUUCUAGAACCAACUUUGAAGAUUUGAGAUUCAAGUUAGGAAUAAUCAACAUUUACAAUCUAGUUUGAGGGGAUGUGUGGAAAUUUAGAAUUUACAGCUGGGUUAACAACCAUGUUAUAGCUACAACUAUGUUACAAUUAUAUUAUAGUUGUGUGAUAGCUAGGGAUUCAAAUGUUGUUUUUUGUUUCAGCGAUAUUUUGUCGAUAUAUCGUGUAUGAGUGUAGCUUGACAUGAUAACGGGCAUGGAUAUCUCGACUGAGAGAGAGAUCAUUUUUUCUUGCCAUUUAUUGAGGGUUUUUUUGGCAAAGUUCCAGAUUUGCACCAAUAUUUCAGAUAUAUCAACAAUUUUCAGCCACGUUAGCAUGUUGUGUCAGCGAUAUUUUUCAGCUUUUACUUAAAAUUUUUGAAAUAUGGGCCUGAAGUAAGAGACACCCAUUUUUUUUGUGACAACUGAUGGAGCCUAAUUUUACAUGUGAUGAUACUUGGGGCACCAACACUUCAAAUAUGGGAAUGUUUUCUCUUCACUUUCAUGCAAGUUAGGGAAUUGAUCUUGAGACCUUAAGAAUGAAAAGGUUUGUCCUUGCCACCAAACUAACUAUACUUUGCUUAUACAAGCACAUAUUAAAAUAUAUAUAUAUAUAUAUAUAUAUAAAUUACUUAAAAUAAAAAAAAAUGAGUUAAUUUUAAUUAUGUCUUUUAUAUAAUAAUUAGGUAUAAGAUAAAUAUAAACUUAUAAAUAAAAUUAUCAAUAUUUUUAAAUAAAAAAUACUAACAUAUCAUCAUUUCUUUUAUAUCAUUUGAAUAUCCAAACUAAAUAUAUUAUCAUUUUAGUUUUUAUGUAUUAUCAAAUUCAAUAUAUUAUUGUCAAAUAUUAUAAUUUGUUUUAUCGAUAUUUUUAUAUUAAAGUUUCCAUCAAUAUUUCCUUAUAUAUCCCGAUAUAUCCAUAAAAUCUAACUACUGAUAUAUCCAUGAACACCGAUAUUUUCAUCCUUGGUGAUAGUUGUGUUAUAGUUGUGACACAACUGUGUUGUUGUAUUUCUAAUUUUAACUUACUCCCUUAUUUUAUUUUGUGAGAGAUUUUUUCUCCUAAAAUAAAAAAUUAGAUUUCUUUUCUAAGGCAGAUGACCUCAAUCGUUUGUGCAUAAAUAUUGGUACUAUAAUCAAUUUGCAAUAUAGAGAAAAAGUAUUUUUUUCCCUCAAAUUUCUUUAGUUUUUAUAGAUUUCUUGUUACAAGUUUAGACUGUUAUGAUAGUUUUAAAUGUGUGGAUGGUUUUCUUUUCCUUCCAUAGAAUAUGGUAUAUGAAAUGCGCAAGUUUUCUAUCUACUUUUGGUAUAAUUUGUUUAUAUGGAUAUGGAUUAACCAUGUAGUACCACCUACACUAUUUCAUCAGUACUAGUGGAAUAUGGUAUUGACUCAUAGCUGCCAUCAACAAUUCAUUCCACUAGCCAAAUCACCCAUAUUGUGCCAUCAAUCACAGGUUCCUCAAGCAUGUUGAAGUGUCUAUUAUAUGUCUUAUAGCAUACUGUCAGAAAUGUAAUUAUAAUAGGAAAUUAUUUUGUUGAGUGUUUUUUCUAUUAGUUUUUCUUUUUUUUUUAGUUAAAUUUUUGUUUCCAUUGGGACUUGAACCUGGUAGCUCCCACAAACCCUCCCCAACCCUUUACCACUUGAUUCCAGCCCCAAGGGUGAGUGUUUUCUCUAUUAGUUAUUACACUGUCGAGGACAUUUGACUUAAGAUACCAUCUUGUAAUGUAAACCCAUCUUAAGUCCUCUUCUAGUUCUUCCUAAUACAUUGAGAAAUUCCUUUUUCCACUAGAUGCAGGUUUUUGAAUUCUGCAUGAAUAAUGAUUGGUACCAUAUUAUGUUAGGCGAUUGGUACCAUAUUUGACCUUAGAAUCCCUCCUCCCCAUCUACCUGCAUGAUUUAAGGAUUAGAGAGUGCAACUGUGACAGUUUUGUGCUUUCAGUGGAGAUGCUAUUAAUGAAGUUGGUCCGCACUAGUAAUAGGAUGACCAAUAAAUGCAUUUUGGGGUGAGGUCAAAUUGAAAACUGAAAACAAAUCCAUCUCUGGCAGCUGUCUUGCCUUACUUUUGCCAAAAAAAGCACCCAUUUCCAUGCUGAAGCACCAGCUACUACUGUAGAGGGCCUCUAAUCUCCAUACACUAUGUGAGCAACUUAUAAUCAUUGUUUCUGUUUCUGUUUCAUUGUAAAUAAAUUCCUAAAAUGAUAUGGCAAUAAUUUUGUUUGUGAGUCAUAUUCUAGGCAAUGAAGAUCACAUGAAUGAAAUGAAGUUAUUACAAAGUUAGAAAACAGUGGUAAAGAUAAGGUUAUCUCAUGUUAUAAUAUAUGUGCACACAAAUGCAUUUUAAUGAAAAAGUGACAUAUCUGAUAAAAGAAAAAGGAAAUCUUUUCCCGUUGCCCCUUCAUCCAUAGUCCUUUUCUUGGCAAAUAGCAAUGCACUCAGACCAAGCAUAACUGAGUCAUAUCUUAAGUUACCUAUAUAUGUAGAUGCAUACACAUUCUAUUUUCUUUGGAGAUGUUUUGAAUCUCCAGAUCACUGAAACUCUCUCUUGCUUUUGGUUGGUGCUCUGAGCACCUUGUUGCUGCCAACUCAACAAACACUAAAAAGAUGACAAGAUGAUUUUGAUGGUUAUUUACUAAGCUUGCAGUAAGAUAAGGACUUUUCUUUUUAUUACCUUUCCUUCCUAUUUGGUCUGUGAUUGACAAGGAAAUAAAGAUAGUUCUUGAUUAUAAUCAGGAGUGUCUUUUUCCUUCUUCAAUCUCAGACUACACUUUAUUCUUCAUUUCUAUUUGCCUCUUUUUGACCUAAGAAUCUCUCUCUCUCUCUCUCUCUCUCUUUCUCUCUCUAGUGUGUUUUUUGAUUUCUAAUGAAUAUCACACUCUGAGGAGAAUGUCUUGAAGCUGAAUGCCUCAAGUAAAAGGGAUGAUUCAAAAUAGACAAUUACUACUUGAAAAGGCUCUCAUAAGAAAAAAUGCAUAUCAGAAGCAACAUCAAGGACACUGCACUUAUAAAUGCUUUACAAUAAUAUUAGCUGGGGAAGAAGUGGCAUCGGCAAAGUGGAAAGCAAACAAUUUCUGCCUGAUUUUGGAUGCAGAAAAUUUGGUUAUUUUUUAGAAUUACUAGAGAUGGUGUCAUUGACAAUUGAGGGAAAGGAAACAUUGGAGAGAGCAGCUUUACCUAGAUGCUUUAACUGCUAGCAAAACCAAAUACUCAACCAUAUGAUGUUGCUCAGGUGAAUGCUGAUCUGAAACUCAAUAUGACCUGAUAAUUCUUAGUUCCGUCUUAUCUAUUGUCCUGUAUUUUUUUUUUCUUUUUAUAAUGCAAAUUGAAUAUUCUUUGUUGACUGAUAAUUUGAUAGAUGUCUGACAUGUCAUGAGAAAACACCUGCUGAGAGAUCAAGCAGGAGAACAGAGAGGAUCCAUGCUGUGCUUUGACCUCAAGAACCAAAGGAGUUUAGUAGUUGGAGUUAUUGAAGAAACCAAAAAAAAAAAUUAUGGUGAGAACAUGGAAGAAAAGCAUAAGUUGCAUGAUUCUAGGUUUCAUUGACAGGACAUGAUUAUUAAAUUGGAGAAAGAAUUAGAGGCUAAGUUAUUUACACUAGACAUAUAGCACAAAUGGUUAAGUUUUCUUAAUCUGUAAAAAAGUGAUAAUAUCCUUAUAAAUGUCUCACAUUUGAUCUCAUGUUUAACUAGUAAAUUUCAAGAAAUUAGUUAUAAAUCUUCCAUUGAGAUGCAAUUAUAUUGAUAACAUUUUGCCUUUAUAUUUGGUUUGCUGUAGAAUUACUUUUUAUAUCAGAAGUUGGUGGAAAAAUGAUAUUUCUCUUUCUGGGAUAAGGACAUGGUAACAUUCUCCCAACUUCUGCCUUAGAUCCUUUGGCUGCUUCUGUGUUUAAUUGAUGUUAUGAAUGAUGUAAUUGGGGAGGGUAAAGUAAAUUGGAUUGUAACAAUAAUGACACAACUUUGGCGCUCUCUCUCACACACAGAUGCUCGGUUGCUCACUCACUCAUAUGUGCAUGCUCACAUGCACCGAUAGGUUUUUAAAUGUUUAAUGCUAUUAUAUUUGACUAGUUUGUUUAAGAAUUUAAUUUUACUAAUAAUUGUCUCUCACGUGCUUGUCCAAUAUUUAUAUGUAUAUAUCUGUAUCUCAGGCACACAUAAUUAGGUUGAUUAAAGGUUUGUUGCUACUAUAUUUGCUUUGAGGUAGGUUUUCUUGGCCUUCAUCUUUGUCCCUUAGCACCUUGAACUUGAAUCAAAUCACUCCUCCCACUCUAAUUCAUUUUUUUCCAUUGCAGCCCACAUUCAAAAUACCAAAGCCUUGCAAAUUGAAGGUGAUAGACCCAGGUAAAUCUUUGCACUGAUUCUGUUUCUCAUUAAUAGUGAAUCUCUGUCAUCCAUCACUACUCAAAGAGGUUCAUAUGUUUUUGCUUUUUCUUCAAGUUUCAUAUUGUUAUAGGGUUUUAUUUGUUCAACUUAGUCAAAAAUUUCACUUGCUUAUUCUGUUAGAUUCUUACAUCAAUGGAAAUUUCUGGGUGAAAGCAUACUUCGCCUGCUCAGCUUGCCACUUGGGGCAGCCACUUCACUCACAGAUUAGCAUUUCAGGUUAACAAGUUGAUAGCUGUGUUCCAAUCAUGGUUAUUGAUUUUGAACUACUUCAAGCAGGUUAGCUUUCACUAGUAAACCUUAUUUGCUAGAGCCAAUGGUAUCAUAAUAUGUUAGAUUGCAAAUUGUAAGCUUUGGUGAAGGUGUCUUCAAUGCUGGAUGGCUUCUUUGUGUGCAGAGACCAAUACAGGUCUGAGUUCGCCAGUAACUCUCAUUUGAAAGCAAUCGGGGCUAUGGCAUCAUCAUAGCCCUCUCCUCGAUUAAUGGCCAUACUAAAUUGCUUAACAUAGUCUUGUACACUUUCCCUUUCAUUCAUUUGGAUAUUAAGGAGGGAAGAAUCCAUGUCUCUUCUUUGCCGAAAAGAACACAUAUGUUGAGCCACAAUUGUUGUGCACAAUUUUUAAGAAAGAAGAAAUAGACCCGCUCGAGAGAUUAUGGAACUAAAUGAGGGGUGGGCUUUGCAGACUUGUUGGGAAUGCGUUGCAAAGCCCUGCAUCAGGAUGAUGAGCUGACAAAAAUGCAUUAAAUGGUCAACCAGGUCUCCCAUGCCAUAAUAUGGAUGUAAUUUUGGAAACACAAACCUGGUUGGGAUUCUUGCAUUAGUGAACAAGCUGUUGACUAAGCCCCGAAUGAUUUGACUCACAAAUUGUUGUCUUCUUCCUAUUCAUAGCAUCCUUUGAAAAUCAUCCAACUGCUCUUCAAUAGUGCCUUUUUCCUUGAAGGUAUGAAUAGCCUCAUUCCUUACCAACUUAUCUUCUUCCAAGGUUGGGGGUGACUCUUCUCGGUGAGAUUGAUUUGUCUCAUGCAAAACGAUAGUGUCAAGGGAGAAGUAGAACGAUAGGAGUGUAACAAUGCUUGAAGCUCUUAAUUGUCCCUAGCCAAAGUAUCCUCUAUUUGAGAUAGAGAUUGCAUUCUUUGCUCAAGCCGGAGUUGUUGUUGCUCUGGCCAUAACUGUAGUCGACAAAGAGGCUCUUCCCCUGAAGGGCCCUUUCCAUUGUAGUGUAGGGAUGCAACUUGGCUAACCCGACCAACUUGAGGUUUGAGUUGGCAUGGGUAAUAUGUGAAGGGUUUGAGUUAGAAAAAUACCCAAAUCGACGAUAUCAAGACGGGUGAAACCUGAACCCAUGUUUUAUUUAAAAUAUGAAAAAUAUAUAUAAAAAAAGGAUGAUAGAACUUUAUCCUUUACCUUUUACAAUUGUAGGAUACUAAUAAGUUUAUCAUUUUUGUUUAAUUAUUUAAAUAUUUUUAACUUGAGUUUAGAGUUAUUAUUUAUGUUAAAUUAGCAAUUAAUAAAUAUAUUUGAUUGCUUUAAGACAUCUUUGGCAUUUAUGGUUGAUAUUUUAUAACUUUGAAAUAAAUAUUUUAUUUAGCAAGAAACUCUAUUAUAGGUCUUUUAGUUGACAAUAUGUAUGAGAACUUUUAGAAAUUUGAGUUGUCUGUGGGCUUAGCAUGGGUUGAGAAUUCCUGAAAACUAUUUCCAAAUCUCCAACAUUUUCAAAAAAUUUAAUUGAAAGUUGUCUUACAAUUCCAAUUGAAUUUUAAAGUUGUUUUUUUCCAAAACAUUUUUCCAUAUUUAUAUUGAAAUUUUGUCUUCAAUGGACAACUUUUAAUUGAUGUUAUUUCAAUUGAUAUUAUAAAAAAUAAGGUGGUAGAUUUAGAAAUAAUUUUUAAAAUAUCAAAUUUUAAUAAAUAUUUUUUUUUUCAAAAAUCUGAUAAACAAUCUCAGCACAUGAUAACCUUCCAAUCCAUCCUACUUAAGUGCUAUGGGUGUUGUGGUUGGGAUGUCACUGAAAUAACCUCCGUCCUCUCUCAUUUUUGCGGCCGGUGGUUAUUCUCAUUGACGGUGCCAAGACAUUGAGUAUUUUCUCUUCUUUCUGCUCGAUUUUAUAGAUAUUUUGGGAACAAGUUACCAAGUGGUAAUAUUAUGGGUAAUGGAGUGAGAGUGGUAGGAUCAACCACAGUCAGCUGGAUGCCCAUAUCUUUGACAGAUGGUAUUCCUCAACUAUGUCGGGUUCCUAGCUUUGUACCCCUUCUAUCUAGUACCUACAUAAAUUCUAAUUUUUUACAAUUUUUAUUGAGUUCUAAUAUUAGUCAAUUUUUAAAGACAACUGAUGUAAAAAUAUUUUUACCAAGUUUAAGCAACUGAUUAGAGGUAUUUUUUGUAAUUUAUUUUGAAAGGCUAAUCAUUUUUAAAAAUAAUUUAUAAAUAUAAAUAUAUUAUAUAACCAUCCUUUUAUGUAAAAAUUUUUUUUUUUUUUUUUUAAAGUAUCUGUUCUAUUUCUAUUCUUUUAAGACCUUUACUUCUCAAUGAAAGUCCACUGGACUGUUAGUAUUUUAAUGAAAUUGUUGCAGCUCUUUGUUUCCUGGAUUGAAGAAUGCUAUUAAUUGUCCAGGUUUUGGUCUUUAUAUAUAUUUUUUCCCUUAUGUGUUGGUUGAAUUUUAGGUAUAUAAUGUGCAUGUUUGCAUAUUUUCAUAAUUGUCAGAAUAAUUCUAUAAUUUCUUGUUCACAUGGAGUCUAUCUAUACCAUUUUCAUUAUACCAGAAAAUUUCUAAGUUGCCCUCGUAGUUGGUAUAUAAUUUACAUCUCUUUUUAUAAUCAAAAUUUAGUAGCUCUCAAAAAAGUUAUAUUUAUUGGCUUAUCUUCAACUUAUGUUUUUUAUUUUCUUUUUUGGUUAGGUUUUUCCAUAUUCUCAUGUGUUAUUUCUUCUACUUUACCUAGUAAAGGUGAAGGCACCUUGAGCACUAGGAGAUGGGUGCUUUUACCACUCAUUAGUCAUUUCCAUAUUAAAUAUAACAAUAACCUGAUGCAUGUGGUUCUGAAUCAGAUGUUUAUGUAAUGAUUAGCAAAGCAAACACAUUAGACUCUAAUCAUUGCUACCUGUGAGUCUAUUUGUUCAAAUAAUUACGAAUAGGAAGCUUAAGCCUCACAAGACACAGUCCUAUUGCUUCACUAGAUGAGAAAACCUUCCUUGCUAUAUGCAAGCCAGUAUUGGAGUGGCUAUUUGUCUACUAACCAGAUUCUUCAAGACCUCGAAUUCUAAGAUUAUAGGUUUGGCUAAUAAAAAGAGUCUGCCUUUGGAUAUGUCAUUCAUUAAUUGACAGAAGUAAGCCUUCCAUACAAGGAAAUAUAUGUGUGCGCCUAUAUAUUUAGAGAUAUAUAUUACAGUUGCAAUAAAUCUUAGGCAUAUUGAGAACUUUUUAACUAGUGUUGAAUUUUUGAUGUGGUUACUUUUGUUCCAGAUUAACAAUAAGAAAAUCUGUGCUUUAUGAUGCUGGUACUCUUGUUGGUAUGUAUUUCCAAGAGUCAAACCUGUGACUUCCAAAUCUUAUGAGAAGUACAUGUUAAAUUAUCAAAGUUCAGCUAUUUUUUCUUCUUUUAUAUAUCUUGGGGACAAAAGGAAGUGUUUGUGCAACGUAGUGUGCCUUCCUGGAAAAUUUGCUCGUUUUAAAAUAUCAUUGAUAGUAUGGUUAUAUCAAGAAACUAUCUUUUCAACUUAUAGCAAAUAAGAGACAUGAAUCUUUUUCUUUUAUUUGUUACACCUAUGAUCCAAUCUUACAUGGAACAUAAAUCACUAGCAUAUCAGACAAUGGAGCAUAGAUUGUUAUGAUAUGGGGAAUGGAAAUGAGUACACAAAACAGUAUAUAAACUGGAACGUGGUAAAUCAGGUUAGGCUUAAAUGGUCCAUCGAUUGGUUAUUAAAAAUUAGAUUGUUGUAAGAUAAAUGCAAUAAUACCUUUUUUUUCCCAUUUCUAUAGAAGGGGCUAUAUGUUGGUAGUUCUCUCUCCUUUUUGGCAACUUUUUAUUUUUUCCUUUAAAAUGGAUUGACCAUGUAAUGCCACAAAACUACUUAUUUCAUAUUUCUGUUAUUCUUUUGGUAUGUUAUAACUGUUGAUCCAGUUUGCUUUAAAGACUUGUAUCCUCUUGCAUUUUGUUAACUAUUUGUAAUCUUGUUUUGUAAAAUUCAAUGAUAUAUUAAGGUUUAGUUUUUGACCUCUUCAAGCUUGUUUUCUAAUUGUUCAUUUUUCUUAGCUCUUUUUUGAAACCUUAAGCCCGCUUCCUUGUUUUUCAGCUAGUUUCAUUUGGAAAUCUACAUCCCCACCUAAAGCAAAAGCCUUUUGUAUGGUCAGUGGCAAAUAAGCAACACCAACAAGAAGCUAUAGGUGAGCAGGCCUUAUAAAGGUUUUUGUUUAAAUUGUGUUUAUGUGCUUGUGGCAUGGUGAAUCAGUUGGUUAUAACUUUCUUCACUGCCUAUUUGCUUUAGGGAUUUGUUAUAAGUUGUUUGCAUAGCUGGGAUAGACAGGGUUUCUCAGAAUUUUGACAAAUAGGAUGAUUAUCUCUUUUAAGGAGUUUGGGAGACUCCCUAGAGGUGGAAUUCUUCGGUAAUUGGUGAGCCUCACUUUGAUUUGGAUAAGGUCAAUAAUUUUGUCAAGAAUUCGGUUGAUUUAUUUUCUUCUCUAUGACUUUAUAUUUUUGAAGCUUUGAACAGGUACUCCCUUGAAUCGCAUUUUGCUAUAUUGAAACGAAGCAGUACCAAAAUUUUUAUAGGAGUGAAGUGAGUUGAGCAUGUACAUGUUUGUCCUGUAGAGGGAGUGUAUGUAUGGAGUAAACUUUUAUUCUGAGGAGAUUUUUUCCAUUGAUUUACACGUGUGUGUGUGUGUGUGUUUGCAUUUAAUGGUUUGUUUAGUUGUCUGUUUCACAACAACAGAGAUAGGUUUCAUCUUGAAGAAUGCUUGCUGCAUGUAUUACUGAAAAUUCCAAGUACCCUAUUUCUUGAAUAAAAUUGAAGGAGAUAUUUUUUUGAGGGCUUGAUCAGCAUGGAAACAAGUAUCUUUUACUAGCUUUAUGGUGUGGUUGUGAGCAAUUGAGAUAGGAUCCGACUGAGAUGGUCCAGUUUUAGUCUGGACAAACCAUUUUGCCCCAGGUUUCGCUUUUCAAAAGCCAAGGUUUUGGAAACUGAUGUGCACCUUGUAAAUUCUAAUUAGUAUAUUGAACAACUUUGAUAAGAUUCCCUCUCACAAGCAAAGGGGCCCUACUGUAUUGGACUCCAUCAGGCUGAUUAAGACCCCCAGAAUGGACAUUAAAAGAGACGCUUUCAACUUAUUGGACGUUGAACUUACUUUUUGAUUGCAAAAAUGAAGAGGACCUUGUUCAAAUGCAUCAGUAGAAUGGCCAAGUUGUGGUGUAAAGUCUGUUUGUAGAAUGUGAAAAAUAUUCACCUUUUCCAGUGGUUUUUAAGGACAAGCCUAUGGUAUAUGGUAGAGUUAAAUCUCUUUAAAUAUGGAGGAGGUAGAUUGCCUUGAAAUCAUAUAAUCCCAAUUCAUUCUAUUACGGUAACUUUCGGGCAUUAAAGUUACUUUAAGCGUGGCUGAAUUAAUACCACAUGUCCUGUUAUAGUGUCAAAGAGACGCCUAAGUUUGGUUUGCUUUCAAUUCCAUAAUGCCCUUGAAAGUGACAUUAUAUUGAGACGUCCUAAUGGUCAUUUAAUAUUUUUUAUUUUUCCCCUUUUAGGUUUUUUAUUGUUGAACUUGCUUCCAUAUGAAAUACUGAGACUGAUGUGGAUGUCAUUGUUGUGAGCUCCAUCUAUCUUCCUUGCGUUAUCUGAACUCAGGUUGCUGUUACAAGAUUCCCCUAACAAGGCUUUCUUUAGUUUAGACCAUCUAAUCUCACUAAACAAAGCCUUCAUGUGGUCCAUUCUUGACUUAAAUUUGAAAAUCUUGCUGGCAUGAUGAGAGAUGCAAUAUAUUAUAUAUUAUAUAUUUAUAUUUAUAUUGAUGUAAAGCUUCCUCUGUAUACUUGUGUAUUUGGAUUUCUUAAAAUUCAUUUCUUUGCUUGCCAUGACUUCGUUUUUCUUACCCUCUAUUUGUUUGUUUUCUGCCCUGGAGAAUUUCCCAUCAUCCAAACAGUCUUUUCUCCCUCUGAUUUUUUUUUUUUUUUUAAAAUCUCUUCUCCCCACGCUUUAUUCCUUCUACUUUAUAGAGUUUUGUCCCUUGCACUAGCACUGCUCAUGGAAUUUGGAAAGUGAGCUUGAUACAAAAACUGAGCGCCUUUCCUGUAAUCCAGCAAUGUGGGCAUCAUCUGUGCGAUGGGAGUGCACACCACGCGCAGACCUUGAAAAAAAGAGGAUAUAACUGCUCUGAAAAUUAUGCGGAUGUUAGAGGUUCAAAGAAGAUCUUGUAGGGACUUCUUAUCAGUACAACGUGGUAAGACUCGAGUCUGUGAAAGCCAAGCUUUUGGGAUCCCCCUCCUAGGUAUAUACACCCACCACACGUCUCUGCCCACCGAUAAUCCUUAGCUUCUACACGCUGGUUAGCCAACCUUUCUCCCUCUGUUCUGUCGGAAUCGGUUCAGAAUUUGGCGGGGGUUCUCUGCACCUGCCAUGUGUCUCACUACUCCCCAAAACCUAAUCAUUUUUCACUCGAGGGCAUUGUGGUAAAGAAUGACUUCGGGGUUUUGACUAGUCAUACGAGCAUUGAAUUCUCAUUUUUAUCUAUUUAUUUAUUUUUUAUAUGCUCCCAUUUGUCCUGUAACUAUUCACUUCCAAUAGUUUCAUUGGCCGUGACAAUAACAAUUGAUUUUUAACCAAUUGAUGGAGAAAACUAAUCAUACGCUUAAAAUAGACUCUAUACAAUUCAACAGUUGGAGUGCGACAUGCAUAACUAAAUGGGCACUGCCUUUUUAAAAGGUCCCCCACCAUCUAAAACAAUAUGACAAUGUCCAUGGACCAAAGUGUGUGAUCAAUUUGGUGGUCUUGCCUUGGAAUAUUUUAGGUUGAGCCGGUUUGUUUUCUCCUAAAUUUUAUUUCAGUUUAGUCUUGCAAUCUCGACCACUCUUAAUAUCCAAUUCCCAAGUUGUAUAGACAGCCAUUACAAACGAUAAGGACCAGGUGGCUCCCACCUAAAUUAUUCACAAGCUGUUUGCCCCAUUUCUCUUGUCAUAUUGUGCCACAGAGAGAUGUUAAAUUUAUUGAUUUCAGAUUACUCAAUCAUCAUGAUUUAAUUGUUGGCGGUUCCCAAAAUGUCAUCCAAACAUGAUGGAUUAGUAGAACAAAAAUAAUAAUAAUAAAAAAUCAAAAGUAGACUCCCCCCGAUUAGCAAAGUAAACGAUGGUCAUCGGUUGCAUCCAUUUUAUUUGUGGGAGGUGCAAAUUGUGUUACGAAAGUGGGGGUGAAGGAGAAUAUGAUGAGAAGGAAAGUAGGUGGAACAUCGCUUUUAAUAAUUGAGAUUGAGAAAGAGAAGAGGAUGAGGGGAUGAGACAAGGGCCUUUCUAUUAUUUUAUUUCACUGUUAUUAUGGUCGCACUCUCUUUGAUCAUCUCCUUGUCACGAAUUUGAAAUUUCUUCCAUCUCCCUUCCUUUUCACUCUUUAUCAUGUUAGGAACUUAGGGCUUAGGACUUUAGUUUCCACCGCCCACUACAACCUCCUCUCAAAUCUUCCGACACCAACUCUUCAGUUACCCAUCUAGAAACUAUCUUCUAAUGAGACCUACUUAGUCUUUCUCCUACUGUCAAUUAAAAUCGAAGAUAAAUUAUUUGUUUAUGAGAUAAAGUGUGCCUUACGAAACUUCCAACCAAUUUCAUACCAACCACUGUUAGGCCACUUGAUAUGGGUCCCAAGUGACUCGCGGUCAACACACUCUUCUUUGAAAUGAACCUCUUUUGCCCAAUUUUGACUAGUCAAAUUCACAUUCAAUCUACCACGGUACCACCUAAUAAAUUGAAAUUAAUUAUCCUCUGCUUUUUAUUUUUAUUUUUGUUUCAUUACAAAAGAAAUUUUUUUUGGCCCUUGUGCAUAUUGGAGGCGAUACAGCCCAUGUCGCUGGAGUAUUUAUUCAGUUGAUGCAAGUAUUCUGACUUAUUGAAUAACUUUUACUCUUAAAUAUUAAUGCUCACUUACCCUGUUAGAAGAAAACGAUCAUCUUGAGACUGACAAGAAAGCGAGAGGAUUCAAAAUUUCAGCCUGUUUAUGCUGUGGCAAUCAUUCGACUUUGCUGAAAAUGAUUUCUUCUGCCUAAUUUUUUGUUAUUAGUAUGUGGAAUGAAUGAGUGGAGAGCAAGAAAAAUUUUGCGCCUUCGUGUACGUGUACUGCGUUCGGAAUUGAUCAUAGGUGAGGCCUAUGAAUGUAUCAUUCUAGAUGGAAAUUAAGUACAAGUACAAAUUAAGAGAAAAGUGGAAACAAAAAGAGUGGAGAAAUGCUCAAGGCCACUUAAUUAAAUAAGCCCACAAUUAAGAAAAUGCAAUUGUACUUGUGACCCAUAUGCCCUGAAAAUAUGUGACCCAUAUGCCCCUUCAUUCUCUCUCUUAUAGGCUGUAUAUCAAGUUCGGUUAACUUUUGGAUGCUACUGCGUGUAUAUUCUAGAACAUCAAAAUGGUCGGCUGGGUGAGCUGGGAUCCUCCGGGUGAUGAUAAAGUGGGGUCCAGUCAUGGCCGCGACGUGUUUUGAUCUAACCUAUUCAAUCUGACAUCCGACGGUCAUCAAGCUACAUGCGCUUUGAACCACUUUAUUCAGCAUCAUAUAAAGGUAAGCCCGUCAUAACAAAAUAACACCUUUAGGAAAGUCAGGAUGCCUUUAUUUCUUAGGCACUUGAAAAGUCAUAGGCCUUUUUCAUCCAUUGAAGUUUGCUCAUUCAUUCAUGAUUUAUAUAUAUAUAUAGAUUUUUGUGUGUCGUAGGACCUUUAUUUAACCAGAAAGUUCCCACUGAUAAAAGGGAAGGUGAAGGUGCUCUCAACCUCGGUCAUAUUAUUUGAUUUAAAUUAUUGGCCUCGCCAGAGAUUGUUAAAUUAUGGAUUUUUCCUUUAUAGCAUAGCACCUAUCAAUUUUUAUUUCCAAAUCUCACCCUCAGUGCGAAGCCAUGAAAUGUCUUCUCUAUUCUUUUUUAAUAUAAAGGUGAAUCCAAUCAUAAAGCAGAAGGGAGAAAGUUGUGGACAUAUUCAGAAUCUGUCCAGCAUACCCAGCCAUAGACGCAGGCUUCCAAUGUGUUGUACAUAUAUGUUGAUAUACAGGGCUUCUCUUCGUCUCGAUCACCUCCCUUGCUUAAAUUUUAGCUUCUCCAAUUUUUUUAUUUUUUCUAAAUUAUUUGACCCCAUAUUGACAUGGAACAGUCAAUUUGUAACAAGUGGCAAAGUCGGGAAUCUCGAGGUAGAGUUUGGUUUUCACCCUGAAAACGCGGAAGGUUUGAUGGAGUUCCUUUAUUUCAUGUGUGACAAAUCCCCAUACAUAGCCCACAUGUUCACUCUGAUCUUAUGCUAUUAUAUUUCCGAAGGCGGUCCCGAAUUGAAAAGACUCCUUCAUCUACCAAAUUCAAUGUCACAAAAGAAUAUAAUAAAAAUAAACAUCAAAAUGCAUCUUAAAAUUUUAUCAUCUACAAUUCUCUAUUUUUUAUUUUUACCAAUAAAAUAGAUGUCAGUAAAGGAGUGGGAAGUCAACUAUCUGAAGUUAAAACAAGUCCUGCUCUUCCGUAUUCAUAAUAAAUACGAAUUUUAUUUAUAUGGUAACAGAUGAUGUGAAUUACAAAUACAAAGCGUUCGUCACACGGAACUUCUCACACAAAAGCAGAGGCCACUCCACUCACUUCAUAAUUCAUUUCUCCUCCUCCUCCUCCUCCUCCUCCUGCUUUCUCCCUCUCUUAGCUUCCUUCUCCCACCAUGACUUCAAAAGACUGCGGCAACCAUAGGCACAAGCAUCAUAAGCUGAGGCGAUGCUUCGCCGGAUUGCUUAUCUUCUUCUUCAUCGUCCUCCUCGUCGUACUCCUGGUGUGGGCAAUCCUCCAGCCCAAGGACCCACGCUUCGUCCUCCAAGACGCCACCAUCUACGCCCUCAACGUCUCCACCCCGAAUAUCCUCACCGUCAACAUCCAAGUCACCAUCACCACCCGCAACCCCAACGACAAGAUCGGCAUCUACUAUGAGAAACUCGACACCUACGCCACCUACCGCGGCCAGCAGAUUACCCUCGCGUACCUCAUCCCCCCCACCUACCAGGGCCACAAGGAGAUCAUCACCUGGUCACCUUUUCUCUCCGGCACGGCCGUACCCGUGGCUCCCUACAACGCCAUUGCACUGAAUCAGGACCAGUCGUAUGGCGCCCUCACCUUGAUCAUCAAGAUUGAUGGACGGGUGAAAUGGAAAGUUGGUUCCUUCACAUCAGGCCGUUAUCAUCUUAACGUCAAGUGUGUGGCGCCUAUUACUUUCGGUGCCAGGAGCAGCGGUGUUGUUAUCGGUAACGCCGUUAAGUACCAGAUGGCUUCCACUUGCAGCGUCAGCGUUUGAGCUUCUU